GGGGAGGCAGACGCAGAUGAGGAGGUAUCGGCGGGACCAGAGGACGCGGCCGAGAGAUGUGGCGGAGGAGGGAAGCGCGGGGCGGAAGCCGGAGAUGCUGAAGGAGGCCCGGGAGCGGGACGAGGGGGAAGGAGGCUUUGUGUGGUUCUGGGGGACGAGGGUCUCGAGGUCGUCGUCCUCGUCGGAGACGGAGGGUUCGCGGUCCAUGGCGGCGGAGGAUAGGGAAGUGUCGGUGUGGGGUGGGAGUGGCGAGGCGGGAGGGUAGAGUGAUGUUGGGGGGAAGAAGGGUGGGAAAGAUGGAGGGUAGAUGACGGCGACCGUCCAACGGUGAGGAUGACGGUCGUCUAGCUUCGCGUAGUAGGCAAGCUGAUACGUAGAUGGAUACACAGGUCCAACCGAUUUUUUUUACGGGAAUGCUAAUUUUCAUCCGGCUGAAAUAUUUUCAGCUUUCAUCCGUUUCUCUGCCCGUUCGAUCCUUGUGUCAAGAUCCCUGUUUUUUUCUUCCUUUUUUGUCUCGAGGUGUUUUGGUUGUUAUCGGGUCUACAAUCUUUUUCUGGAGACCCGUUAAUCUUGAUGGGUAGCGUGUCCUAAUUGUUUCUUUUAUUUCCUUUUUCUCCUCUGCUCACUUUGUCCCUGUCCAUUCACCAUUUCAAGCGGCGCGAGCAUGAGACAUUGAGUCAUGGCGAUUUUUGGCUAAAGAUCCCAGUCGCUGAUCUCUCAAGGGCGAGCUGGUGGUUAGGCGUCCUGUCCUCCUCCCCCACCCCUUCCUUUCACCUGCUUCCUUGUCGUCAAGCGCGCACAGAGGAAGAGGCGAAAUCAAUGCCAUGGCAAUCCGUCUGCAUUGGUUUCGCGUCGCUCCUCAUUUUUCUUGUGUUGACUUGCGAGCCGUGUGUCCUCCUCAUCAUCCUCCGUCCAUGGUUGGUUUUGUAAGUAUCAUUUCCCUCUGUUUUCCUUCCCCUAUUUUUUUCUGUUUGAUUUUUGCUAGAUCCGGUGGAUCAUGUAUGUUAUCCCGUGUAGCCAUGGUUCCUAGAUGUUUUUUUGUUGUAGAUGUAUGGUUCCAUGUAUAUGUAGUGGUGGAUUCUUCCAGUAUAUUGUUGAUAUUUUGUGCUUCCUAAUUGCGUUCUAGUUGUCUCUGUAGAGAGUAACUCCUAAUUGUGUUCCAUUUCUUUAGUGGAUCCUUCUUGUAGUUAUCGGUUUGGAUCCCUCCUUGUUUGUUGUAGAUGUUGAACUCCUAGGUGUGUACAAUCCCUCCUAUGGAUCCCUCCUGUAGUUGUCGCUAUGAAUCCCUCAUGUUUGGAUGUAGAUGUUGAAUCUACCUCAUAGUUUAUGUGAAUCUAUAAAAAUCAGUGUAAUCACAGCUCCAGUCUCUGAAACUCAUGUGUUUUUAUCAGAAAUCCAGUGUAAUUUCAUUGAUAUUUGUAUUGUAAGUACAAUUCAUGUUUCAGUGAAUUUUCAGUAUUUAUUAUGGGUAUUUUCAGUGGAAUUGCAGUUUUUUUAAACUCUAAUACAAUGGUUAUUUUAGUGUAAUUACAAACUUACAAUCAGUAUUUUAGUGUGUAUUCUUAGUGGUUUUCACUGUAAUUCUCAAGUGGAUUUACGGUCUAAUUGCUUUAGUAAUUUAGGUGAUAUUUUUGCAGCGUAAUUCUCAGUGCAUUUUCAAUGUAUCAUUAGUACAUUUUGUAAUGUAAUUCUUUAGUGGGUUGAGAGGAUUUUUAGUGGAUUCACAAUGUAAGCUUCACUUGAUUUACACUAUAGUUUUUAGUGGAUCAGUACUGUAAUUUUCAGUGAACUUGCAUUGUAACUCUUGAUUUUUACAGUGUAAUUUUAGUGGAUUUACAAUGUAGUUUUUAAUGGAUUUAGACUAUAAUUUUUCAGUGGAAUUCGCACUGUAACUAUUGAUUAUUUCAGUGUAAUUUUCAAUGGAUUUACACUGUAGUUUUUAGUAGAAUUAUAUUGUGAUUUUCACUGUUUUUGCACUAUAACUCUUGAUAUUUUUUGGUGUAAUUUCAGUGAAUUUACAGUGUAAUCCUUAGUGCUUUUGAGUAUGGACGGUUUUUUACCCUUUUGUAAUCUGCAUUUGAGUAGGCUGGAUUAUUUUUGUAUUUUAUUUAGUGGAUUUUUUAGUGUAAUUCUUAUUGGAUUUACACCGUAUAUCUCAGUGGACUUACACCGUAAUUUUUAGUGGGUUUUACAGUGCAAUUUUCAGUGGAUUCACACUGUAAUCCUUUGUGGAUUUUACAAUGUAAUUCUUAUUGAAUUUACAUUCUAACUUUCAGUGGACUUGCUCCGCUCUGUUUUGUUGUCAAGCACCAAUUUAGAAAAACAUGAUUGAAUCUGUUUUCUUUUCACAUGAUUUGUUAAUGCUAUAAGAGAGACAUUAAGGAACUUAGCUUCAUCAUGUUCGAGGUACAUGUCCUGGCCCUUCAUGCUUGUUUCCAUCCCAUUUGAUUCCAUUGCAGGCACCUGUAAAUGUAAACUGUAUAUAAGCAUUGUUUUGUUAAUCUUGCAACAUGUAAUGUCUACUUGUACUUGUGUUUGCCCCUUUUUGUCAGUUCGUAGGCUUAAUUGAUAUGAACGGAUCAUUUUAUUACUUCCUAUGUGUACUCAUUUGUAUUUACAAUCAGUAGUUUGUAGCAUUUUGAACUUCAAGUAGGAAAAAAGGUCUUUCUAUGUAGUUCCAAAGUUUAUAAAUUUCAGUCCUAGUUUCUUUACUUUCUUGUAAAUGAGUUAUUUUGAAAUCAUGAUCUAAGUUACUGAUUAGUGUAUGGUUUGUGUGUGCCAAAGUUUCUGAAUUACAGUCCUAGCUUUAUGAAAAUAUAGUAUUUCUAACCUGUUUGUUCAAGGAUUCUCUUAACUUUCUGUAUUUUAUCUCCCUGAACAUGUGAUCCCUUAUCUUUUUUAUACUCAUUUCCAUGUGUUGUAAUUGUUUUUUUUUCAAUUCAGAAACUUUCUAGUAGUUCUCAAAUUCAUGAAUUUAACAUGGAUUUUUGUUUCCUAACGUUUAUGUCCCUGCACCCCUAGACUCACAUGACCCUAGUGUUCUUCCUGGAUCUAGUUUUAUUUUCUUGGUUCAAGUAUUUUUUUUUGGUUCUAGUGUAAAGUUCCAGAGUUCAUCUUUUUUGUCCCUGCAGCAUGUAUACAUAAUAGUUCACAGACGCCCUUUGUUCGAUUUCUGAUGUAGAAAUGCAGGGGAGAGAUAUUUGUCUAAAUCAUGCUUAGUAUGUGCUGAUUGCAAAGUUUCAGUGUGAACUAGUUUCAGAUCAUAGUAAUUUGAAAUACAGAGACAACUGCAUUCACUUCAAAUAGGGCACCAUCAAAAUCUGUUGAGACGACACCAUAUGAGUUAUGGCAUGGCAAGAAGCCAAAGUUGUCAUUUCUUAAAGUUUGGGGAUGCGAUGCUUAUGUCAAAAAGCUUCAGCCUGAAAAGCUGGAACCCAAAGCGGAAAAGUGCGUCUUCAUAGGUUACCCAAAAGAGACAGUUGGGUAUACCUUCUAUCUCAUAUCUGAGGGAAAAGUGUUUGUUGCUAAAAACAGAGCUUUUCUUGAGAAAGAGUUUCUCUUGAAAGAAUUGAGUGGGAGGAAGAUAGAACUUGAUGAGGUUGUGGAACCUCUGCUCCAACAGGAUGGUAGCGCAGGGCACAGGGAAAUCUCCGUCGAGGCAACACCAGUUGAAGAGGAAGCUAAUGAUGAUGAUCAUGAAGCUUCGGAUCAAGUUACUGUCGGACCUCGCAGGUCGACAAGAUCACGUACUGCUCCUGAAUGGCGCGGGAAUCCUGUCUUAUCUAUCAUGUUGUUAGACAACAAUGAGCCUGUGAAUUAUGAAGAAGCAACGGUGGGCCCAGAUUCCAACAAAUGGUUAGAGGCCAUGAAAUCCGAGAUAGGAUCUAUGUAUGAAAACAAAGUGUGGACUUUGGAAGUAUUACCUGAAGGUCACAAGGCUAUUCAGAACAAAUGGAUCUUUAAGAAGAAGACGGACGCAGACGGUAAUGUGACCGUUUAUGAAGCUUGACUUGUGGCAAAGGGUUUUUCACAAAUUCAAGGAGUUGACUAUGAUGAGACAUUCUCACCGGUAGUGAUGCUUAAGUCCGUCCGAAUCAUGUUAGCAAUAGCUACAUUUUUCGUUUAUGAAAUCUGGAAGAUGGAUGUCAAACGGUGUUCCUUAGUGGUUUUCUUAAGGAAGAGUUGUAUAUGAUGCAACCCGAAGGUUUUGUCGAUCCAAAGAAUGCUAACAAAGUAUGCAAGCUCCAACGAUCUAUUUAUGGACUGGUGCAAUCAUCUCGGAGUUGGAAUAAGCGCUUUGAUGAGGUGAUCAAGGCGUUUGGGUUUAUACAAGUUGUUGGAGAAUCUUGUAUAUACAAGAAAGUGAGUGGGAGCUCUGUAGCGUUUCUAAUAUUAUAUGUGGAUGACAUAUUGCUGAUUGGAAACAAUGUGGAGUUUCUAGAAAGCGUAAAGGAUUACUUGAACAGAAGUUUUUCAAUGAAAGACCUAGGAGAAGCUGCUUACAUAUUAGGCAUUAAGAUCUAUAGUGAUAGAUCGAGGCGCCUAAUAGGACUUUCAAAAAGCACAUACCUUGAUAAAGUUUUGAAGAAGUUCAAAAUGGAGCAAUCCAAGAAGGGGUUCUUGCCAGUAUUACAAGGUAUAAAGUUGAGUAAGACUCAGUGUCUAGUAACUGCAGAAGAUAGAGAAAAGAUGAGUACCGUCCCCUAUGCUUCAGCCAUAGGGUCUAUCAUGUAUGCAAUGCUUUGCACAAGACCGGACAUUAGCCUGGCCAUAAGUAUGGCAGGCAGGUAUCAAAGUGAUCCAGGAGUGGAACACUGGGCGGCGGUCAAGAAUAGUCUGAAGUACCUGAAAAGGACUAAGGAAAUGUUUCUCGUUUAUGGAGGUGACGAAGAGCUCGUCGUAAAGGGUUACGUCGAUGCAAGCUUUGACACUGAUCCGGAUGACUCUAAGUCUCAAACCGGAUACGUAUUUAUUCUCAAUGGGGGUGCGGUAAGCUGGUGCAGUUCCAAGCAAAGCGUCGUAUCAGAUCCUACAUGUGAAGCGGAGUACAUGGCUACCUCGGAGGAGGCUAAGGAGGGUGUCUGGAUGAAGCAGUUCAUGACGGAUCUUGGAGUUGUGUUGAGCGCACUAAAUCCAAUAACUCUGUUCUGUGACAACACUGGUGCCAUUGCUCUAGCCAAGGAACCAAGGUUUCACAAGAAGACCAGACACAUCGAACGACACUUCAACCUCAUCCGCGACUAUGUUGAAGGAGAGGACGUAAAUAUUUGGAAAGUGCACAUGGAUCUGAAUGUUGCAGAUUCGCUGACUAAACCUCUUCCACGAGCGAUGCAUGAUCAACGCCAGAACUGUAUGGGUGUUAGAUUCAUUACAAUGUAAAUCACAUAGCAAUGUGAGACUAGAUUAUUGACUCUAGUGCAAGUGGGAGACUGUUGGAAAUAUGCCCUAGAGGCAAUGAUAAAAUAGUUAUUAUUAUAUUUCCUGUUUCAAGAUAAUCUUUUAUUAUCCGUGCUAUAAUUGUAUUGAAUGAAAACAUAAAUGCAUGUGUGGAUAUAUAGACAAAACUAUGUCCCUAGUAAGCCUCUAGUUGACUAGCUAGUUGAUCAAGGAUGGUUAAGGUUUUCUGACCAUAUGCAAGUGUUGCCACUUGAUGACUGGAUCACAUCAUUGGGAGAAUGAUGUGAUGGACAAGACCCAAACUAUGAACGUAGAAUGUGAUCGUGUCAUUUUAUUGCUAUUGUUUUCUGCGUGUCAAGUAUUCAUUCCUAUGACCAUGAGAUCAUGUAACUCACUCACACUGGAGGAAUACCUUGUGUGUAUCAAACGUCGCAACAUUACCGGGUGACUAUAAAGGUUCUCUACACGUAUCUCCAAGGGUGUUCGUUGAGUUAGCAUGGAUCAAGACUCGGAUUUGUCACUCCGUGUGACGGAGAGGUAUCUCGGGGCCCACUCGGUAAUGCAACAUCCCAUAUAAGCCUUGCAAGCAAUGUGACUAAAGUGUUAGUCACGGGAUCUUGUAUUACGGAACGAGUAAAGAGACUUGGUGGUAACGAGAUUGAAAUAGGUAUAGGGAUACCGACGAUCAAAUCUCGGGCAAGUAACAUACCGAAGGACAAAGGAAGUGGUAUACAGGAUUAUAUGAAUCCUUGGCACAGAGGUUCAACCGAUCAGAUCUUCGUAGAAUAUGUAGGAUCCAAUAUGGACAUCCAGGUCCCGCUAUUGGAUAUUGACCGGGGAGUGUCUCAGGGCAUGUGUGCAUAGUUCUCGAAAUCGCAGGGUCUGCACACUUAAGGUUCGAUGACGUUUCGGUAUAGUUGAGUUAUAGGUGUUGGUGACCGAAGGUUUGUUCGGAGUCCUGGAUGAGAUCACGUACGUCACGAGGGUUUUCGGAAUGGUCUGAAAACGAAGAAUGAUAUAUAGGAUUGCUGCAUUUGGCUUCCGGAAAGAUUUCGGGCAUUGUCGGUAGUGUAUCAGGAGUGACGAAUGGGUUCUGGGUUUUUACCGAGAGGGGGCCACCCACACGGGAGGGAACCUAAUAGCCCAUGGGUGGCGCACCAGCCCUUGGUGAGCUUGUGAGGCCAUCCAAAUAGGGCUAUUUCGACCAAGAGGAAAAAAUCAAAGGAGAAAGAAAAAAAAGGAAGGAAGGGACUCCUCCCUUCAAACCGACUUGGAGGAGGAUCCCUCCUUCCUUCGGCCGGCGCCCUAGAGGGAAGCCCCACCCAUUGGCUCCUCCUAUAUAUACUUGAGGUUUAGGGCUUUUUGAGACACAACUUUUCCACGUGCAACCCUAAACCUCUACUUCAUAGUUCUUCCUCUAGAUCAGUUUUCUGCGGAGCUCGGGCGGAGCCGUGCAGGAAUAGAUCAUCACCAUCACCGGCGCGUCGUCACGCUGCCGGAGAACUCAUCUAAUUCCCCGUAUCUCUUGCUGGAUGAAGAAGGCGGAUAUCGUCAUCGAGCUAUACGUGUGCUGAACUCGGACGUGCCGUGGACGGAUUGUGGGACGACGAUGAUUUGAAUCAGGAAGCUGUUCCCCUACAUCAACCGCUUUUCUUAACGCUUCCUGCUUAGCGAUCUACAAGGGUAUGUGGAUCCGAUCUCCCCCUCGUAGAUGAACAUCACCAUAAUAGGUCUUCGUGUACGUAGGAAUUUUUUUAUUUCCCAUGCAACGUUCCCCAACAGAACUACAUCUCCACCUCUUUAUGUUUCCAACACGAUAAAAUUGGAAGAAACUGCUUAUGCUAUGUAUUGUCCUUUACUUGAUGUGCAUGAAUUGUUCUUUUAUGAUAUGCUGAUGCAUAGGAAGAGAGUUAGACUUCGUAGUUGCAUGAUAUAUGUUGCUUUGUGCUCACUACUAAAUUACAAAUCAUUGUUAAUUAAAAUUGGCUUCGAUAUACCUUGGGAUCCGGGUGGAUCCAUUACUUGAGCACUUUAUCCUAGCUUAAUGACUUUAUAGAAAGCGAUGCGAGGGAGACAACUCGAAAUUUUUCAUGAGUAAUUUAUUUAUAUUGUGUGCUUUUAAAAUAUUUAAAACAAAAAAGGCAAGGAACUUAAAACUUUUUCAAAAAGAAAUGUGAAAGUGACAAGGACGAGUACCGUUGAAGUGGGGGGUAGCCUUGAACUUUGUUCAUGCCCAUGGAAACAUUGUGAAUCUUGAUUACAAAAACCUUUCAACAAAAAGAAUUAUCCCCUUGUAUAAGUACCAUUGUAUUAUAAAAAUAACGUGCCAAGAUUUGCCUUUAGGAUGAUUAGAUUGAUUGUUGGUAUGUGCGGUGUAAGAACAGAAAAUUUGGGUGUAGUGCAUGAAUUUACAUGUUUUAGUAGAACAUCGAAAGUUUCUGAAAUUUGUACAUAGUAAUGCUAUAAUUUUUUUAUGUAUUCCUAACUUUUCAGAAUCUUUUAUGUUACAUAAGCAUGGUAAAUGUUCAGAUUACUACACACUGUCCUAUUUUGACAUAUUCUAUUUUUGAUGCAUUGUUUUGCUCGUUUUGAUGAAACUAUCGAUUGUAUCAGUGGUAUAAGCCAUGGAGAAGUGACGGGAUACUACCCCUGGGUAUACCAAGAGCGGAGAUUAAUCGUCUCCAAGACAUUUGGGGGCCGCCUGGUGAUGUCUACGCACGCUUCAAUUCUUGUAGACUAUGUUGGGCCUCCAAGCGCAGAGGUUUGUAGGAUAGCAGCAAUUUCCCUCCAGUGGAUGACCUAAGGUUUAUCGAACUCAGGGAAGUAGAGGUUGAAGAUGGUCUCUCUCAAGCAACCGUGUAAUUAAGAUACAAGAAGUCUCUUGUGUCCCCAACACAGCUAAUACAAUGGUAAAUUGUAUAGGUGCACUAGUUCGACGAAGAGAUGGUAAAAUAUGGGUGAUAGGUGUGGCAAAGCAAGGUAAUAUAAAUUUGAAAUAAAAAUGGCAGCAAGGUAGCAGGUGACAAAAGUGAGCAUAAACGGUGUAACAAUGGUGAGAAACAGGGCCUAGGCUUCAUACUUUCACUAGUGGCAACUCCCAACAACAUUAACAUAGUCUAAUCACAUGAUAUUUCCACUAAAACAUGCAAUGGAGACGUACUCGGAGGUCAUUCCGUUGUGAUCAAGAGAAGACGCGAAUUAUAGGGCUACAAAAGCACACCUCAGAGCUCAUAGUUCUCUCUAUGGAUUUCCCAAUGUCAUAGUGACCAUCCAAAGAGUGUACCACAAUCAGCACAACGUAUCUGAAGGAUAGUCAAAGACAAGCACCAAGAGACUCUCAAUCUUCAAUCAAUUCACAAAAGAGGAAAUCACUCAUGAACAUAUUCUUCUAAUCCAUGUCCAAUAGACCGCUGUCACCAUGGUCUCGGGGAUUAUACUAGAUAAGAUCAAGUGAGUACAUCAAUCCAAUACAUAGAAGAAGGGGAAACAUCAUGGGAUCAUCCUAGAUUAACAUAGACCAUGAUCACAAUCAAGAUCACAUCAUGAGAGAGAGAGAAUUAACGACAUAGCUACUGUAGAAGACCUCAACCCCGAGGAGGAACUACUCCCGCUUCAUGGAGGGAGGAAGCAACAUUGAUGGAGAUGAAUCCGGGGGCACUUCCCCGUCCCGACAGGGUGCCGACACAGGAAUUUUGUCCCCCGAAACUUGUCGGUGUUGGCGGCAGAGAUCUGAAUUGCUUCUGGAGAAAAGGGUUCCAGUAUCAAGGUUUCCUCGACGGGGGCUAAAUAUAGGCCAAAAGAGGGCACCAGGGGUGGUCCUAGUCGCUCAGUUGGCCUCUUGGCACGGCCUCCCCUAGGCUGCGCGGGCAGGCCGCCUGGGUGACAGGUGGCCCCCUCCGGCUCUCCUUCAGGCAUCUCGAAGCUUUCGUCACGUUGAUUUUUAUAUAUUUUUCUCGGGAUUUUUGGAGCUCUCGAAAUUUGGGUAAAAGAACCUGCAAAAAAGAAAUCAGCAGACAUAAACUCGCACUGGGUGCACUGAGUUAGUAGGUUAGUCCAAAUAUGUGUAAAAAGAUAUAAAGGUGUAGCAAAACAUAUAACAAUGUCACCCAAAAGAUCAUGGAACAAGCAGAAAUUAUAGAUAUGUUUGGGACGUAUCAACAUCCCCAAGCUUAAGUCCUGCUCGUCCUCGAGUAGGUAAAUGAUAACACAAUAAUUUAUGUGGUGGCAUGCUAACACACAUAUAAGAACUUCAAAGUAAAGCAAGUAAGAUAUGAAAGUCAAGUUAAGAUAAUAACAAGCAAGAGUCUAUAUCUAGUAUUGAAAUUAGCAAAGUAAGAACAUAAAGGUGCAAGAGCUCUCGCUGUCCGUGACUCGAAUGUCUCCAAAUGGUGUUUGCAUGCAAGAAGUGGGAGAUGGAUUGAGAUCAUAAAAUAUAUUUUUAUUGAGAACUCAAUCUACUAAACCUCACACUUAGUCUCCUUCGUAAUCUUAUUUUGACUCAUCCCCACACCACUAGUCAGGCACAAGUCAAAAUGAUCCUCUCCCUUUCAACUUUGAGGACUCAUGCAAUGGAUGAGCGUAAGCAAGAUAUGUUGGCACUUAGGAUGGCAAAUAGAAUAAUUAUGGGAAGGAAAACAAAAGGGUGUGAAAGGCUCACAUCAAUGAGGACAACCAUAGGCGAGAGAAAGCCAAAUGAUAGAUAUGAUGUGAGGAGUAGGGAUUGCCAUGUAACAGAUGCACAUAUGAGCUAAGGUAAGCUCUCCAAUGGAACUAGUGGGAGUGCAUCCAACUUGUUUUCUCAUGAAGACCUAGAGCUCAUUUGAGGAGGCUCGUGAUUGGAAUAUGCAAACCAAGUUCUAUAGUGUAAGGGUCCCCACAUAGUUAUGCAUGAAUGAUAAUCUCUAUGAAGUACAAAUAUAGCAAUGGAGUACGAGUGUUGAUCUUUCAAAAGGAAUAGUAGUGUUGCCCCCUUCUCUCUUUUUAUUUCUUUUUCUAGAGGAAUAAGUCUUUAGUGUNUGGGAUCUUUUGUUUUGUCCUCUUUGGGAUCUUUCCCUCACUUAAGGGCAACACUCUAUGUUUUACAUGAAUAAAAAGAAGAUCAUCACACUUUAUAAGAAGUACUCAACAUAAAGACAAAUGAAAACUAUCAUGAUGUAUGCAAAUGUAUGCCUCUGCCAGUGUAGCAGGAUAUGCAAUGAUACUAGCGCGCCAUGUAGCAAUAAUUUGGGCAAGGCCUAACUAUCAUGCGGAUAUAAGAUCAAGCAAAGGCAUGUACGACAUGAAGAUCAAGUCAUGAGAUGGUGGAUGUUGCAUGGCAAUGUAUCUCGGAAAGGCUAUGGAAAUGCCUUAAUAGGUAGGUAUGGUGGCUGUUUUGAGGAAAGAUAUAAUGAGGCUUAUGUAUGACAGAGCGUAUCAUGUCAUGGGUUUGGAUGCACUGGCGAAGUCUGCACCAACUCUCAAGAUGAGAAAGGGCAAUGCACGAUACCGAAGAGGCUAGCAAAAUAUGGAUGGUGGAAGUGCCAACAAUCGAAUACUCACAUUAGUCCGAAGAACUCAUACACUUAUUACCGGUGACUCUCUAUCUAGUUAGGAAAUUCACAAAGAGACAAGUACCUCGAGGAGGAGUGUUUGGGGGUUUGGUUAUCCUUGCGCAUCCUCGACUCAUGGUAACGUGAGGGUACUCCAUAUAUUCCAACCCCUCUAGAGGUUAGCGAUCAAUUUAGUAGCUAGAGUUCUCAACUAAUUUUUUGUUUUUGAAAAACACACGGAUUUCCCAAAAUACGACACCUAUCACUAAUAGGCUCAAGCUCUUGGCAUCAGUAGUCCAAACAUUACCCAAAUCAAUACCUCAAAACUAUUGCAGGUUACUACUAUACUUUAAUAGCAAUCUCAAUUAGCUUCUCAUGCAAGACACACAACUCAGUGCAACGAGCCAACUCUCUAGACAAUAUAAGCAUGAUAACUCAACAAAGUUCCAAAAUCAACCUAAAUAAAAGCUCUUAAAAAGAUAAGCAUGAAAACUAAGAGCUAAGCAUGACAGUAGCUAUGGAAAGAUGAAGAACACACAAAAAGAUAAGCAUGAAAACCUAUGUUUUGUUCUAGAGUGGAAUGGACCAUGUCUCUCUACCAAACAAGGUAGGCUAGAUUCCGACUUGUUAUGAACAACAAGCAAAACUAAAACAAACUUAAAAGUAAAGAGAGGGACGCUCCAAGCAUAGCACAUAUCAUAUGAAGUGAUAAAAAUAUAGCAUGGAGAUGGACGACCUGAUGAUUGUUGAUAGAGAAGGGGAUGCACGGGGGCAUCCCCAAGCUUAGAAGCUUGAGUCUCCUUGAAUAUUUCUUGGGGUGCAUGGGGGCAUGCCCAAGUUUGAGUGCUUGACACUCCUGUAUCUUCUUUCAUCAUCUGCCAUCGCAUACUUGAAAACUUCCUUCAUACGAAACUCAUCAUAAGCUGAUUAGAGUGGUUAGUACCCUUAAUAAAAUAACUCAAUACCUGUUGGAAAUAAAGAUUUUCAUGAAAAUCUACCGCUUCUCAUGAUUUUCAAAAGGUUUUUGCAAAUAAAAAAUUAAGCUUAGGAUUUGCAAAACAAUGGAAACACAAAACAUGACAGAAUCUGUGAAAAAUAGGACAAGAGGUAGUAAAUAAUUUAUUCGGGGCACUUAUGCAGCUCAAAUCAAAAAAAUACAGAACAUAUGCUAGAAAGGCAAUUAUAUAGAGCAUACUGUCAAAAACAAUUUAGAUCAAAAAGAUGAUCUGGUGAUUUUUGGUGAUUUUUUCCGUCAAGCAGACAUAAUCUGUUUCUGAACAACAUGUCACAAUUUUUGAACUUUCUUGCAAUCAGAGGCUAUAACUUGGCACAAAUCUUAAAAAUAAAGAUACAAUGAUGUUGCUAUAGUAGUAACACACAUCAAGACCACUAAAAACUGAAAGUAAAGAUAACAAGGGUUGUCUCCCUAGAGCUCUUUCUUUAUAGCCAUAAAGAUAGGCUUAAGAUUUUAAUGAUGCUCUCGUAGGAAUAAGAGUUUUAGAACAAAAGAGAGCAUCAGGAAGCAAAUACCAAACACAUUUAAGUAUAACAUGCUUCCUAUGCAUAGGAAUAUUGCAAUAGAAUAUUUCAUUGAAGCACAAAGCAAUAAGCAUAGGAAGGCAAAGCAAGUGCAGCUUCAAAACCUUCAACAUAAAGAGAGGAAACUUGAUAUUAUUGAAAUAUCUAUAAGCAUAUGUUCCCUUCUCAUAAUAAUUUUCAGUGGGAUCAUGAAUAAACUCAACAAUAUAAGUAUAACAUAAAGCAUUGUUACCAUGAUCCAUAUGCAAAAAGGUACUCUUACUCUCCACAUAAGCAUAAUCUUUCUCAUUGGUAAUAGUGGGAGUAGGACUAUCAUAAACAACCUGAACACUAUAGAUUAAUUGUGUAUUAGGGAGAUGGUGUUCAGCAAGAGAGUAAUCCCCUCCAUGAUUAUGACAAGUUUCAUAAGGAUAAUUUCUCCUUAUGUCAUAGGUAUCUUUACAAUCACUAUUGAUAGGAGUUAUAACAUCAUCAUGGUAGAGAAGAGCACUAUUAUUGGUAUAACAAUUAUAUUUGUAAACAUUUUGUCUCUAUUCUUACUAGAAAAAGAAUUAGCAAUAAUCACAUCACUAAUAGGUAAAGGACUUGCAAUCCUAUCAUCCCCAAGCUUAGAGCUUUCCAUAUCAUCAUUUUCAAAGUUGGUCCCAAAAAGAUUUUCAAGAUCAUAAGUAGCAUUAUCAUCAUCUUCCCAAUCACAAUAAGUAACAUGCAUAUCAUAAUCAAAAUCAUCUUCAAUAGUACCUACGGACUUAUCAUCAAGAUAAUAACAAUCAAGCUCACCAUCCUCCAUAAUUUUUUGUAUGUUAGGAUAAAAGUUGAUGCGAGAAAUAUGCUCAGGCCAGGUUGAUACCCAUUCUUCUUCCUUCUUGUUCCUCUUCCUCCUCUUCCAAUAGGGGAAACUUGGGAGAAACUCUCCUUUUUAUAAGUGGAAACAUGAGAGACAUUUUUAUGCUUUGGUAAAGUUCCCUCCUUUCUAAUCUUACUUAUGUAAUUGUUUUCAUGGCAAUUAACAACACAAUAGAGAUGGCGUUUUUGCAAAGUGUUGUUUAUUCCUAAGGCAUUAUCAUCUAGCCAAGAAGUUUUUUCUGAUAACUCUUCACACAUCAAAAAUCACAUAAGUUCAUCAUAAAGAUCACAAGUGAUCAUGUUAUCACACAACUGGUUAACAGUUAUGUUUUGAAAGUUCAUGCAUUGAAAAUUAAAGUGACCCUCUAUACCACAAAGUUCACAAGUAAAAGGAUAAAGGUCACACAAUUCUCUAGCAAUUUCAUUUAAAUCUCUAACCCCAGUGAUUAUUCUUUCAUGCUUAUGUUGCUUACAAUACUUCUCUUCUUCAAUCAUAGGCCUUUCACAAGGUCUAUCCACUCCACAAAAAUUAACAUGCUUAUAUAAAACUUUGUUUUGAGGAAUUGGAUCAUGCAUGUUGCAAUCAUCAUUAACAAUUACAUCUUCUUUGCAAAUCUCUUUAAAAGGUUCAUGAUGCUUGAUAGAAUUCUCCUUAGGCAUAUUUAGAUGUGAAGCAAAAGAUUUGAGGAAAUCAACAAGGAGUUGAGAAUCAAGCCCAAACUUAGCACUAAACUUAUUAAAACUUGCACUUUCAACAAAGGUCUUAAUGCAAUCAUACUCAUAAUUUAUACAUGACUUUUUAGCUUUGUCGAUCUCCCAAUCUUCAGCAUUGCGUUGAAUUCUUUCAAGGAGUUCCCAUUUAGCAACAAUCCUUUCAUUUGUGAAAGAACCCAUAGAGGAAGCAUCGAGAAAGUCUUUAUCCUGUCGAGAGAGCCUAGCAUAGAAAUUAGUAAUAAUGAUAUCUUUGGGGAGCCCAUGGUUAGGACAUUUUAGCAUUAAAGUUUUCAGUCUCCCCCAAGUUUGAGCUAGGCUCUCUCUAUCAUGAGGAUAGAAAUUAUAAAAAUAAUUCCUAUUCUCAUGGACUUCAUGUAGAGGAUAAAACUGUUGGGUAACGUAGCAUAAAUUCAAAAUUUUCCUACGCAUGUUCAGAUCUUCCUAUGGAGAGACCAGCAACGAGAGAGGGGUAAGAGCAUCUUCAUACCUUUGAAGAUCACUAAGCGGAAGCGUUGCUAGAACGCGGUUGAUGGAGUCGUACUCGUAGCGAUUCCGAUCUAGUGCCGAACUACGGCACCUCCGCGUUCAACACAGGUGUAGCCCGGUGACGUCUCCCGCACCUUGAUCCAGCAAGGAGGAGGGAGAGAUUCGGGAAGAAAUCCAGCAGCAUGACGGCACGGUGUCGAUGGAGAGACGAGGUCUCCCGGCAGGGCUUCGCCAAGCACCGGCAGAGAGGAGGAGGAAGAAGGGCAGGGCUGCGCCGAGAGAGAGAAAACCGUGUCCCUCAAUGGCCAAAACCCCUCUCUAUUUAUAGGAGGAGGGGGAGGGCUGCGCCACCCCUACGGUUCCCUCCCUAGGGGCCGGCGGCCACCAGAUGGGAGAAGGGGGGCGGCGGCUAGGGUGGGAGGGGGUGGCGCACCACCUGGUGGGCCUAAGGCCCACCUGCGCCUAGGGUUGCCCCCUGUCCCCACCACUUGCGCAUUGGGCUGGGUGUGGGAGGCGCACCAGCCCACCUAGGGGCUAGUUCCCUCCCGCACUUGGCCCAUCUAGCCUCUUGGGGUCGUUGCCUUCGGUGGUCCCGGUACGUUACCGGUGAUGCCCGAAACACUUCCGGUGUCCAAAACCAUCCGUCCUAUAUAUCAAUCUUUACCUCCAGACCAUUCCGGAGCUCCUCGUGACGUCCGGGAUCUCAUCCGGGACUCUGAACAAAUUUUGGUAACCUCGUAUAACAAUUCCCUAUAACCCUAGCGUCAUCGAACCUUAAGUGUGUAGACCCUACGGGUUCGAGAGACAGGCAGACAUGACCGAGACACCUCUCCGGCCAAUAACCAUCAGCGGGGUCUGGAUACCCAUGGUGGCUCCCACUUGCUCCACGAUGAUCUCAUCGGAUGAACCACGAUGUUAAGGAUUCAAUCAAUACCGCAUACGAUUCCCUUUGUCUGUCGGUAUAGAACUUGCCCGAGAUUCGAUCGUCGGUAUACCCAUACCUUGUUCAAUCUCGUUACCGGUAAGUCUCUUUACUCGUUCCGUAGCACGUCAUCGUGCGACUAACUCCUUAGUCACAUUGAGCUCAUGAUGAUGUUCUACCGAGUGGGCCUAGAGAUACCUCUCCGUCACACGGAGUGACAAAUCCCGAUCUCANNNNNNNNNNNNNNNNNNNNNNNNNNNNNNNNNNNNNNNNNNNNNNNNNNNNNNNNNNNNNNNNNNNNNNNNNNNNNNNNNNNNNNNNNNNNNNNNNNNNUUUACGUUUCGUAGUUUACUUGUAUAGUGAAAUAGCAGGGAGGAGGAUAUUUAGUUCUAAAUACAUGCUUAGUAUGUGCUGAUUGUCAAAGUUUACUAGUAGUGAACUAGUUUCUAGAUCAUAGUAAUUUGUAAAUACAGAGACAACUGCAUUCACUUCAAAUAGGGCACCAUCAAAAUCUGUUGAGACGACACCAUAUGAGUUAUGGCAUGGCAAGAAGCCAAAGUUGUCAUUUCUUAAAGUUUGGGGAUGCGAUGCUUAUGUCAAAAAGCUUCAGCCUGAAAAGCUGGAACCCAAAGCGGAAAAGUGCGUCUUCAUAGGUUACCCAAAAGAGACAGUUGGGUAUACCUUCUAUCUCAUAUCUGAGGGAAAAGUGUUUGUUGCUAAAAACAGAGCUUUUCUUGAGAAAGAGUUUCUCUUGAAAGAAUUGAGUGGGAGGAAGAUAGAACUUGAUGAGGUUGUGGAACCUCUGCUCCAACAGGAUGGUAGCGCAGGGCACAGGGAAAUCUCCGUCGAGGCAACACCAGUUGAAGAGGAAGCUAAUGAUGAUGAUCAUGAAGCUUCGGAUCAAGUUACUGUCGGACCUCGCAGGUCGACAAGAUCACGUACUGCUCCUGAAUGGCGCGGGAAUCCUGUCUUAUCUAUCAUGUUGUUAGACAACAAUGAGCCUGUGAAUUAUGAAGAAGCAACGGUGGGCCCAGAUUCCAACAAAUGGUUAGAGGCCAUGAAAUCCGAGAUAGGAUCUAUGUAUGAAAACAAAGUGUGGACUUUGGAAGUAUUACCUGAAGGUCACAAGGCUAUUCAGAACAAAUGGAUCUUUAAGAAGAAGACGGACGCAGACGGUAAUGUGACCGUUUAUGAAGCUUGACUUGUGGCAAAGGGUUUUUCACAAAUUCAAGGAGUUGACUAUGAUGAGACAUUCUCACCGGUAGUGAUGCUUAAGUCCGUCCGAAUCAUGUUAGCAAUAGCUACAUUUUUCGUUUAUGAAAUCUGGAAGAUGGAUGUCAAACGGUGUUCCUUAGUGGUUUUCUUAAGGAAGAGUUGUAUAUGAUGCAACCCGAAGGUUUUGUCGAUCCAAAGAAUGCUAACAAAGUAUGCAAGCUCCAACGAUCUAUUUAUGGACUGGUGCAAUCAUCUCGGAGUUGGAAUAAGCGCUUUGAUGAGGUGAUCAAGGCGUUUGGGUUUAUACAAGUUGUUGGAGAAUCUUGUAUAUACAAGAAAGUGAGUGGGAGCUCUGUAGCGUUUCUAAUAUUAUAUGUGGAUGACAUAUUGCUGAUUGGAAACAAUGUGGAGUUUCUAGAAAGCGUAAAGGAUUACUUGAACAGAAGUUUUUCAAUGAAAGACCUAGGAGAAGCUGCUUACAUAUUAGGCAUUAAGAUCUAUAGUGAUAGAUCGAGGCGCCUAAUAGGACUUUCAAAAAGCACAUACCUUGAUAAAGUUUUGAAGAAGUUCAAAAUGGAGCAAUCCAAGAAGGGGUUCUUGCCAGUAUUACAAGGUAUAAAGUUGAGUAAGACUCAGUGUCUAGUAACUGCAGAAGAUAGAGAAAAGAUGAGUACCGUCCCCUAUGCUUCAGCCAUAGGGUCUAUCAUGUAUGCAAUGCUUUGCACAAGACCGGACAUUAGCCUGGCCAUAAGUAUGGCAGGCAGGUAUCAAAGUGAUCCAGGAGUGGAACACUGGGCGGCGGUCAAGAAUAGUCUGAAGUACCUGAAAAGGACUAAGGAAAUGUUUCUCGUUUAUGGAGGUGACGAAGAGCUCGUCGUAAAGGGUUACGUCGAUGCAAGCUUUGACACUGAUCCGGAUGACUCUAAGUCUCAAACCGGAUACGUAUUUAUUCUCAAUGGGGGUGCGGUAAGCUGGUGCAGUUCCAAGCAAAGCGUCGUAUCAGAUCCUACAUGUGAAGCGGAGUACAUGGCUACCUCGGAGGAGGCUAAGGAGGGUGUCUGGAUGAAGCAGUUCAUGACGGAUCUUGGAGUUGUGUUGAGCGCACUAAAUCCAAUAACUCUGUUCUGUGACAACACUGGUGCCAUUGCUCUAGCCAAGGAACCAAGGUUUCACAAGAAGACCAGACACAUCGAACGACACUUCAACCUCAUCCGCGACUAUGUUGAAGGAGAGGACGUAAAUAUUUGGAAAGUGCACAUGGAUCUGAAUGUUGCAGAUUCGCUGACUAAACCUCUUCCACGAGCGAUGCAUGAUCAACGCCAGAACUGUAUGGGUGUUAGAUUCAUUACAAUGUAAAUCACAUAGCAAUGUGAGACUAGAUUAUUGACUCUAGUGCAAGUGGGAGACUGUUGGAAAUAUGCCCUAGAGGCAAUGAUAAAAUAGUUAUUAUUAUAUUUCCUGUUUCAAGAUAAUCUUUUAUUAUCCGUGCUAUAAUUGUAUUGAAUGAAAACAUAAAUGCAUGUGUGGAUAUAUAGACAAAACUAUGUCCCUAGUAAGCCUCUAGUUGACUAGCUAGUUGAUCAAGGAUGGUUAAGGUUUUCUGACCAUAUGCAAGUGUUGCCACUUGAUGACUGGAUCACAUCAUUGGGAGAAUGAUGUGAUGGACAAGACCCAAACUAUGAACGUAGAAUGUGAUCGUGUCAUUUUAUUGCUAUUGUUUUCUGCGUGUCAAGUAUUCAUUCCUAUGACCAUGAGAUCAUGUAACUCACUCACACUGGAGGAAUACCUUGUGUGUAUCAAACGUCGCAACAUUACCGGGUGACUAUAAAGGUUCUCUACACGUAUCUCCAAGGGUGUUCGUUGAGUUAGCAUGGAUCAAGACUCGGAUUUGUCACUCCGUGUGACGGAGAGGUAUCUCGGGGCCCACUCGGUAAUGCAACAUCCCAUAUAAGCCUUGCAAGCAAUGUGACUAAAGUGUUAGUCACGGGAUCUUGUAUUACGGAACGAGUAAAGAGACUUGGUGGUAACGAGAUUGAAAUAGGUAUAGGGAUACCGACGAUCAAAUCUCGGGCAAGUAACAUACCGAAGGACAAAGGAAGUGGUAUACAGGAUUAUAUGAAUCCUUGGCACAGAGGUUCAACCGAUCAGAUCUUCGUAGAAUAUGUAGGAUCCAAUAUGGACAUCCAGGUCCCGCUAUUGGAUAUUGACCGGGGAGUGUCUCAGGGCAUGUGUGCAUAGUUCUCGAAAUCGCAGGGUCUGCACACUUAAGGUUCGAUGACGUUUCGGUAUAGUUGAGUUAUAGGUGUUGGUGACCGAAGGUUUGUUCGGAGUCCUGGAUGAGAUCACGUACGUCACGAGGGUUUUCGGAAUGGUCUGAAAACGAAGAAUGAUAUAUAGGAUUGCUGCAUUUGGCUUCCGGAAAGAUUUCGGGCAUUGUCGGUAGUGUAUCAGGAGUGACGAAUGGGUUCUGGGUUUUUACCGAGAGGGGGCCACCCACACGGGAGGGAACCUAAUAGCCCAUGGGUGGCGCACCAGCCCUUGGUGAGCUUGUGAGGCCAUCCAAAUAGGGCUAUUUCGACCAAGAGGAAAAAAUCAAAGGAGAAAGAAAAAAAGGAAGGAAGGGACUCCUCCCUUCAAACCGACUUGGAGGAGGAUCCCUCCUUCCUUCGGCCGGCGCCCUAGAGGGAAGCCCCACCCAUUGGCUCCUCCUAUAUAUACUUGAGGUUUAGGGCUUUUUGAGACACAACUUUUCCACGUGCAACCCUAAACCUCUACUUCAUAGUUCUUCCUCUAGAUCAGUUUUCUGCGGAGCUCGGGCGGAGCCGUGCAGGAAUAGAUCAUCACCAUCACCGGCGCGUCGUCACGCUGCCGGAGAACUCAUCUAAUUCCCCGUAUCUCUUGCUGGAUGAAGAAGGCGGAUAUCGUCAUCGAGCUAUACGUGUGCUGAACUCGGACGUGCCGUGGACGGAUUGUGGGACGACGAUGAUUUGAAUCAGGAAGCUGUUCCCCUACAUCAACCGCUUUUCUUAACGCUUCCUGCUUAGCGAUCUACAAGGGUAUGUGGAUCCGAUCUCCCCCUCGUAGAUGAACAUCACCAUAAUAGGUCUUCGUGUACGUAGGAAUUUUUUAUUUCCCAUGCAACGUUCCCCAACAGAACUACAUCUCCACCUCUUUAUGUUUCCAACACGAUAAAAUUGGAAGAAACUGCUUAUGCUAUGUAUUGUCCUUUACUUGAUGUGCAUGAAUUGUUCUUUUAUGAUAUGCUGAUGCAUAGGAAGAGAGUUAGACUUCGUAGUUGCAUGAUAUAUGUUGCUUUGUGCUCACUACUAAAUUACAAAUCAUUGUUAAUUAAAAUUGGCUUCGAUAUACCUUGGGAUCCGGGUGGAUCCAUUACUUGAGCACUUUAUCCUAGCUUAAUGACUUUAUAGAAAGCGAUGCGAGGGAGACAACUCGAAAUUUUUCAUGAGUAAUUUAUUUAUAUUGUGUGCUUUUAAAAUAUUUAAAACAAAAAAGGCAAGGAACUUAAAACUUUUUCAAAAAGAAAUGUGAAAGUGACAAGGACGAGUACCGUUGAAGUGGGGGGUAGCCUUGAACUUUGUUCAUGCCCAUGGAAACAUUGUGAAUCUUGAUUACAAAAACCUUUCAACAAAAAGAAUUAUCCCCUUGUAUAAGUACCAUUGUAUUAUAAAAAUAACGUGCCAAGAUUUGCCUUUAGGAUGAUUAGAUUGAUUGUUGGUAUGUGCGGUGUAAGAACAGAAAAUUUGGGUGUAGUGCAUGAAUUUACAUGUUUUAGUAGAACAUCGAAAGUUUCUGAAAUUUGUACAUAGUAAUGCUAUAAUUUUUUUAUGUAUUCCUAACUUUUCAGAAUCUUUUAUGUUACAUAAGCAUGGUAAAUGUUCAGAUUACUACACACUGUCCUAUUUUGACAUAUUCUAUUUUUGAUGCAUUGUUUUGCUCGUUUUGAUGAAACUAUCGAUUGUAUCAGUGGUAUAAGCCAUGGAGAAGUGACGGGAUACUACCCCUGGGUAUACCAAGAGCGGAGAUUAAUCGUCUCCAAGACAGUUUGGGGGCCGCCUGGUGAUGUCUACGCACGCUUCAAUUCUUGUAGACUAUGGUUGGGCCUCCGAAGCGCAGGUAGGUUUGUAGGAUAGCAGCUAACUUUCCCCNCAGGUGGAUCGGAACCUUAAGGUUUACNCCGAACUCGAAGGGUAAGUAGGAGGUUAGAAGNNNNNNNNNNNNNNNNNNNNNNNNNNNNNNNNNNNNNNNNNNNNNNNNNNNNNNNNNNNNNNNNNNNNNNNNNNNNNNNNNNNNNNNNNNNNNNNNNNNNCGAAUAGAUGUCAUGCAAGUACKUUUCCCUUAACGUCACCGUAUGACUACCACACCGGAAUAGGCACUAGCCGUACAUCACAUUGACGAACGGGAGCUAGCCACAUAUCUCUCCGUGUUAUAACUGUUGCAUGAUGAAUGUCAUCCAAACGAAUCACCGACCCAUUGCCUACGAGUUUGUCCCACUGCUGCUGUUCCUUGUUUUGCUCUGCUGCUGUUACUGUUUUGCUCUGCUACUGUUACUUGUUUUGCUCUGCUGCUGUUACUUGCUUUGCUCUGCUGCUGUUACUUGCUACUGUUGCUACUUGCUACUUCUGUCACUACUGUUGUUCCUUGCCAUUGCUGUUACUUGUUACAAUGCUGCUACCUGCUACAAUACUUUUUUCUCGACGUUGACGGGAAAGAAUAUUUCCCGUCCACGGGCAACUUCUGGCACCAUUGAUACAACAGUUAGGAAUAGUCUGCCGUCAACAGAUCGUUUCUCGCACCGUUGCUAUCAUACUACUUUUCUACUGAUACUUUGCUUGUAGAUACUAAUCUUUCAGGUGCGGUUGAAUCUGACACAUUCAGCUGCUAAUACUUGAGAGUAUCCUUUCACUUCCUGUAAGGCGAACCAACAAAUUUGGGUUGAAUACUCUACCCUCGAAAACUGCCGCGAUCCCACGCGCUAGUGGGCCAUUGCAAGACAAUUGCUAAUUGUUGAGCAACUGGGAGCAGUUCUGACUCCGUUGCCGGGGAGGCAUCAUGUCAGGAACACGUCAAGAGCAUUUUUCUAGUGUCGUUGCCGGGGACUGCUAGUAGCAUCUAUCCUCCGCCGUCGCCAUGCCACCAAAGGUCUCCAAAGGGGAGAAAGGAAAGGCUGCUGCCACGGAAAAGUAGUUGGCAAGGCUGCGGAAGAAGCAUGCCUACUUCCCCAAGGGUUUGGAUAUGGCCACUUUGAAGAGCCGCUACCAGAUCAAGUGGGAUCUCGAGAUGUAGGCGCAUCCGGCCACCCACGUGCUCCCCGGGACGGGAAGUGGGGGCUGAACCAGUUCCCCUUCUUUGCCGACUACUUCUUCUACGGGCUUUGCCUGCCAUUCUCUGAUUUCUUCGUCGACCUCAUGCAGACCUACGGCUUCCGGCUCCUCGACUUCACGCCGAACGCGGUGACGUGCAUGUCCAUCUUCACGCACCUCUGCGAGAACUUCGUCGGGAUCACUCCCAACACAGCUCUCUUCUGCCACUACUUCACUCCUCGCAUCUAGGGCGGGGAGGCCCUUUCGGGCUCAAUUGCCUGGGUGAAAGGAGGCGUACCCGGGUGGUACCCUCCGCGAGAAGCGGGACGAGUGGCAGGGGAAAUGGUGUUGGAUUCGUCAGGAGGGGUACCUGCCCUGCUGCGAGCCCAAGACCUCCAAGGUUGGGUCCUGGGGAGAGUGCUGGAGUGAUCUAUCCACUAUCGAUGAUAAGCUGACCAUCGCCACCACCAGGAUCCUGCGUCUCAGGGCCGCGGGGUUGAUGAUGGACAUGGUGGACGCCGAUUUCAUCCGCACGGGCAUCGCCCCCUCCAGCACAUGGGAGGGUGGCCGACUUCGGCCUUUGUGAACGCAGCAGAUGUCAUGCGGCUGCGACCGGGGCUGAGCAACAAUCUGACGGCCAUGGAACAUGGGUACUUCUGUUAGAAAUUCUUCAGUUCUGAGCUGAGGACCCAGCUGCCGCGGGGGUCUUUCCAUUGUGCAACAGCUCGGCCCUGAGCAGUCUCACGACGAUGAUGCUCGAUUGUGAUGAUCACGACGUGGUUGCGACCUGGCUAGAGCCCGCAUUGCAGGUAGUCUCGUCUUUCUUCAACGGAUUGUCGGAGGUCUCCAUUCGAGUGCAAACCGGCCUCAUCCGCGAGACCACCACCGAGGAAGAAGCGUACAUCGCCAACCAGGUGGAGGAGCAUACCCUCGCCCUCGAGGCUGGGGAUGUGGGCUUCGACGGUGGGGAAACGACUGGUGAAGAGAUGCCACCGCAAGCGGAGCUUGCCGAGGGGGCCGGCAGCUCGGUUGUUGGUGGAUCAGGCGGUCCCGCCGCUGGGGAGCCCAGCGGCUCGGUUGUCGGCGGUCGCCUAGAGUAACGGGUGCCUGUCGCCGGGGUGCAGCAGGAGGAGGAGGAGACGAAGGAGUGCUCGGUUCGCCGGAAAUCCAAGCGAGUUCUCUACCGCGUCGGCUCCAAUAUCCCGGUCCGCCAAGACCCACCUACCGUACCCACCAAACAUCCGAGGGUAGCGCCCCCUCGGCGAGUGCCGGGGCGGAGGUGGAUUAUGAUAUCUCGACCCUGAGUUCGAAGGAUGAGGAGGAGGACGAGUAAGAGUUCGAUAUCCUGUCUCCCCCCAUUCUAACUUUCUUGGUGCUUUUACUGAUUUGAUGUUGUCGUCCACCCGCAGGGACACCCACACACUGGCCCAAAGGUUGGCGAAGAGGGCCAGGGUUCAGCCAUCGGGGAACCGUCGGUGAGAUCAGACACAUCAGCUGGUGGGAUGCCCCCGGCAAGCCCCAGGCGGGUAGCUAAUGGCGAUCCCUUGGUGGAUGCUGAUGCGUUGGCCGGUGAUGGGCCCCCGGCAGGCGCUGUGGAGCCAACCAGCGACAACCCCUUGGCGGACGUUCCGGAGGCUUCGCCGGCACCUCCGACCACUCCCGUGGCCAGCCCCUGGCAAAGCCCCCAGCGUGCAUCGCGAGAGCCUACAAAGUUCGAGGAAAAGACCCCGACAACGGACGUUGCCGGGAGGGGACAACCACCAUCCAUCAGCAGGAGGAAGGUGAGCAUAUGUCCUGGAGCAUCCGCAAGUUGGGCCUUGAUUUCUCUUCUUGAUUAAUUUGUCUGGUCUUGAUUAUUCCUCUUCUCUUCCUGUCCCACAGAUCCUUCUCUCGCCAAGGAGAUGGACGUUGAGGCCGUGAUUACGGAAACUGCCCGUGAAGCGGCAACUGAAGCCUGUGCCGCCAUAGUGUGCGAGGCCGCCCAUGAGGAGCAGGAGCAGGAGUAGGAUAUCCAGGAGCCUGCAAAGGGGUCCGUCGAGGGCCCGGAGGCGCAUCCUGAUGACUCUUAGCUUGCCGGGGGCGAGGAGACUGCCAGAGGCAAGGAAUCCCAGCCUGCCGUAGGAGAGGCAGGCAGCCGUCAGCCUCCCAGGUCCGAGGAUAUCCCGGGUAGCGCUUACCUCCGCUUCGGCGAGGAGACGUUCGUCGUCCCGCCGGGGGCGGAGCGAUCGAGGAUCUUCAUGGAGGGGGAGAGCGUUGAUGCGGAGCUCCCCGCCGGCGUUGGCCCUGACGUCUCGGUGGGGUUAGAAGCCAGUGGUGGAAAGCUCAACGAGGAGCAGCUCUUCCAGUCCAUGAGGGACCACGUCGGCCAGCUCCAAGCCUUGUAUCGCGCUAGGAGGGAGAAAUUGGACUCUUGGGAGGCGGUCAUCAAGGCGGCGGAGGAGGCGUUUGAGAAGCGUUUCGAGGAAACGUGGGCUCACUUCGACGAGGCCUACAAGGCACACAGGGACGAGCGCGAGAAGCUGAAGGCCGAGAACCAAGUGCUCAACCUUCGGUCGGAUGAUAUCCACAAGGAGGAGGAAGGGUCUCAGCGUUGAAUCUCAGCCGAGGAAGCCCGCCUCACCAACAUCCGGAUCGGCCUAGAAAGCCAUGAGGAGGAGCUUGCUGAUCGCGAGCGCACGUUCAGUGAGUGGCUCCGCGUCAAGGACGAGGAGGUCAAGAAACUGGUGGCGUAGCGUACUCAGGAGCUGGUAGACCGGUUCAAGAGCGACCCCGAUGCUCAGGCUUUGGAACAUGCUGGCAAGCUCCAGGAGGUCACCGACCGAGCGUUUGUCGCCUAAAUCGCCAAGGAUGGGCUCACCGGGAUGGUGAAAGAUCUCGAGGGAGAGCUCGAUGGCCUCCAUGACGAGGUAGCAGCGCUCUCUUCUGUGAGGGACAAGGCCCUUGCCAGCUUGAGGGAUGCUGAGGCUGCUGCGGCUGACAAGGCCGCCCAGCUUCGUAGCGCCAACGCCUCCCUUGUCGCCCUGCAAAACAAAUUGGCUCCUAUGGAAGAGGCACUUAAGGAGGGCGCGGUCUGGGAGGAGGAUUUGACUCGGAGGCUCCAGAUUGCGGUGGAACAGCUCAAUGCCGCCUCCGCCAACCACAACCGAUACGUGGAGACCGUCAAGUUGUGGAGGAGCCCCUUGUUAACGAUGCGUCCACUAUUGCCGAUCAGCUAGCCACCAUGGAUCUCCAAGGCCCUGGAUAUUCUCCUUUUCCAGGGGUUCCUCUGAGCGUCAAUUUGGCUUUGUUCUUCGAGUCUGACCAACGCCCUGAAGCAUCUCCAGAUCAGCGAGGCGACGUGGCUGGCGAGCGAGGCCUGACGGCUGUGCCGGAACAUCCUCCUCAAUGUGCUCACCAAGCUGGCGUACAGGAACCCGAUCUCAACCUCUCCAUGGUACGCCUGCCGAAGGACGUGGACCCCAAGCCUUUUGAGGAGAAGGUCAUGUCUAUCGUCGACACGGUAGACCGAGUUAAGAGUGUGCAAGGUUCACGUCGGGACUAGCCCCGUGCCCCUUGUUACUGUAAUUUGUGCCUUAAACAAAAUUCUUGUUAUUUGUAGUAUACUCAGUGCUUCGCUUGAGAACGCAGUGCUUCUCUUCCUUCACAGUCCCUUUCUCUCUCUCUUUUUUUAUAUAGUGGUCCGCCUUUGUGUGUUUGUCGGGAAUCGUUGGCGCGAUCGGCCUUGUCGCGAGCACCUUGGGGGCGAUACCUUGCCGGAGUGGUCACUACCGACAGGGUGUUUAGCUCCCUUCCGGGCCUUGCCAUGGGUCGUCGAGCACACUUUUUACAAAAGGGGUGUGCCAGACAAGCCACCUCGGUUGUUGAGCACGCUUCGAUACGACGUCUGGAAGGCUUAUGACAGUGAUCCCCAGCGCACAGGUUUUUCCACGUGAGAUAAUCGAGGAUGUUUAGGGAGGAGAGGGAUGUACUUACCCAACGACUUACUCAAAGUGUUUGCAAGUUAUCUGCCGACUGCGUUUACUUUUUCGGCCUCAAGUGGAUUAUCUUGGCUCUUGCUACUGUUGUGGGUGUCCCUACUAUCUUCCCCCCGACAAACUUGUGCGCGGGGUUGUACCUGUCUUUCAAGAGAAAGAAAAAAGGGAAAAUAUUUGUCGGGGCUAUGGUCCCCUUGUUAGUUUAUGCAUUGCACAAAUUCAUAGAUGCAUGCAUGUUUUCUAUCAUGAGAAUCUAUAUGAUGAUGUGGAACGCUAUGCUUUAUUUGACCGCGCUCAGGGUCUUCGCCUGGCUUUGUACAAAGGAUUACAUGCAACUUCGGAAAGACUUGUACAAAAGAUGGUCGCUGGUCAGCCCCGCAACCUCUCCAGAUGGGUAGAACUUUCGAAGAUGCUCAAUGUUCCAGGAGUUGGUCACUAGUAAGCCAUCUUCGGUCUCUAGGCGGACAGCGCCGGGCCUGGUGACUCGCACUACCCGAUAUAGGCCUUCCCACUUCAGCGUCAACUUGUUUGUAUUCUUGGCUGACUGAACGUACCGAAGAACAAGGUCGCCUUCCUCAAGACUGCUAGAUCGUACCUUGCGGCCGUGAUAGCGGUGCAAGGCUUGCUGAUAGCGAGAGGCUCGCACAGCUGCCUGAAUCCGGCUUUCUUCGAGGAGCACCACGUCGUCUCGAUGCAAUUGCUCUUGCUCAAGCUCAUCAUAAGCGAGCACCCGAGGUGACCCAUAAAUGAGUUCCGUGGGAAGAACUACUUCUGCCCUGUAGACCAGGGAGAAGGGUGUCUGGCGGGUGGCUCGAUUUGGUGUCGUUCUGAUCGACCAAAGAACCGCCGACAGUUCAUCAAUCUAGUGCUUUCCAUGCUUGCGCAACUUGUCAAAAGUCCUGGUCUUGAGCCCGCGCAGUACCUCGCAUUUGCUCUUUCGGCUUGACCAUUGCUCCUUGGGUGAGCGACAUAAGCAAAGCAUAUUUUGAUGACGAGGUCCUAGGCGUAUUGCAUGAAGAUGCGGCUCAUGAACUGGGUGACGUUGUCGGUAAUGACCCUAUUAGGGACGCCCAAGCGAGAAACUAUCCCCUUGAAGAACUUGACGGCUGAUUGCACUGUCACUUUUCUCACUGGCUCCACUUUUGGCCACUUUGUGAACUUGUUGAUUGUGACGUACAAGUACUCAAAGCCCCCGGUGGCGCGGGGGAAGGUCCCGAGAAUAUCGAGCCCCCAGACCGAGAAUGGCCAUGAGAGAGGGAUCAUUUGGAGAGCUUCCGAUGGUUGAUGAAGCUUUCUUGAAUGGAACUGGCACGCUUCAUACUUAGUUACUAGUGCAGUUGCAUCCUGGAGGGCUGUGGGCCAGAAGAAACCUUCCCGGAACACCUUGCCGGCAAGGGCCCUCGACCCUAUGUGGGAUCCACAUAUUCCUCUGUGUAUUUCGACCAACAGCUCCAGUCCUUCCUCCUAGGGAAUGCACUUUAGCUUCACGCUGCUCAGUCAUCUUCUGUAGAGGGCAUUAUCUACGAAUUGGUACAUGCUUGACUGGCGGGCUACUUUUUCUGCUUCUUCGGGUUCUUCGGGCAAUUCCCCAGUGUGGAGGUAUCGGACUAUGUGCUACGCCCAUGCCGGAGCGUGGGGCUCGACAACAAGGACUAGUGGCAUGUCUUCUGCCAGGGUGGGAUCCCCCCGGGCAGGUUUUGCUUCUGGUCCAACAACUUCUUCCGUGACGAGGUUCUUGCCGGGGCUCCUUGGCAGAUCUGCUGGGAAGUACUUGCCGGAGUUAUGAUUCUUCCUUUGUCUGGCUUGGUUGAUGGUGCCACAGAGGGUGAGUCAGUCGUAGCACGAAAGUUCCUCGUUCCAUAGGAAGUUUAAGUAUUGCACGCUUUGACAGAUCAUCUACGAUGGUGUUUUCGACACGGGGUACAUGCUCCAUCUGUAGACCGUCAAAGCGUUCCUCCAACUUUCUCACCUCCUCCACGUAAGCCUCCAACUACAGGCUCUGAUAGUCUUUGUUGGCUUGCCGGAUGACCAACUGGGAGUCACCUCUGAUGAUGAGCUUCCGAAUUCCAAGAUCUGUCGCGAUCCUGAGUCCGGCAAGCAGCCCUUCAUACUCUACGGUGUUGUUGGUUGACUUCUCCCCGGGGAAAUACAUCUGGAUAACAUACUUGAGAUGCUCUCCAGUAGGCGCGACUAGCAGCACGCCAGCCCUGGUCGCCCUAGAGGGAGAACGSCCCAUCAAAGUACAUGACCCAUUCUUGAUCUGAUUCCUUGCCCGGGAGGGUUGAUUCUGGUAUUUCCUCGUAUGGUGUCGGGGUCCAGUGUACAGUGAAAUCCGCCAAGGCCGUGCUCUCUUUGGUCGAGGUGCUCUUGAACUUGAGGCCGAAGCUGGACAACUCCAACACCCACUCUACUAUCAUGCCAGUUGCAUCGGGGUUUCGCAAAACCCUUUGCAGUGGGAAGCGAGUGACGACGGUAAUCUCAUGUGCUUGGAAGUAGUGGCGCAACUUUCUUGAGGCCAUGAGGAGGCCAAAAAGCAAUUUCUGCACUCCGAAAUAUCUCGUUCUGGCCCCUUGUAGGAGGGAGCUGACGAAAUAGACCGGGUGUUGCACCAACUUCUUCUUUUGCACAGGCCCGCCGGUUGGCGAGGAUUUCUCUUGGUCGCCCCCCGAUUCCGUAGGGGGCCCUUGUUCGCCGUCGUACGCAUCCUCAUUGAGCGGCCACUCCUUUUCCGGGGCUCUACCAUCCUCCUCCCUCUGCGCCACUAAGGCAACACUGGUCACCUGGUUAGUUGUCGCUAGAUACAGGAGCAGUGGCUCUUGGGGUCUAGGGGCCACCAACACGGGUGCAGAGGAGAGGUACUUCUUCAAAUCUUGUAGUGCCACUUCUGCCUCAGGAGUCCGCUUCAUUGGCCCCACCUUCUUAAUGAUUUUGAGGAAGGGCAGGGCGCGCUCAACGGACUUGGAGAUGAACUGGCUUAGGGCAGCUAUGCAGCAGGCUAGGCGUUGCACAUCCUUGAGGCGCUUCUGUGCCUCAAUCUGUUCCAUGGCCUUGAUCUGGUCGGGAUUGGCUUCGAUCCCACGUUGGGACACGAAGAACCCGAGAAGCUUGCUGGAUGGGACACCGAAGACACAUUUCUCGGGGUUGAGCUUGAGGUUGAUUUUGUGCAGGUUGGAGUAACGUUUCUUCCAUGUCUUGCACAAGGGUCGACCUAUCCUUGGUUUUGACCACUAUGUAAUCCAUAUAGGCUUCCAGAUUUCUAUGGAGUUGGGGUUCAAAACCAAUUUUGAUCACCCUUGCGAAAGUCAAACCAGCGUUAUUUAACCCGAAAAGCAUCCGCACAAAGCAGUACGUGCCACAUGGGGUGAUGAACGCGGUCUUUUCUUCAUCUUCCUCGGCCAUGUAAAUCUGGUGAUAACCGGAGUAGGUGUCGAGGAAGGACAACAGAUCACAGCCCGUAGUGGAGUCAACAAUCUGGUCGAUGCGCGGCAAGGGGAAGGGAUCCUUGGGACAUGCCUUAUUGAUGUCGGUGAAGUCAAUACAAAGCCACCACUUCCCGUUCGCCUUGCGCACAACGACUAGAUUGGCCAACCAUGUGGGAUGGAAGACCCCUCUGACUAGGCCUGCUGAUUUUAGCUUCUUGAUCUCCUCGGCAAUAAACUCUUGCCUCUCUAGAGCCUGUUUUCUCACCUUCUGCUUAACCGUCCGCUCGUGUGGACAGACGGCGAGGUGGUUCUCAAUCACCUUCGUGGGAACGCCAGGGAUAUCUGACGGUUGCCAAGCAAACACAUCAAGAUUUGCCCAUAGGAAGGUGAUGAGCGCGCUUUCCUAUUUCCUGUCGAGGGUGGAACUGAUGGUGAAAGUCCCACCCGAGCCGUCUUCCUUGGCUGGCACCUUCUUGGUCUCAAGUGGAGCGGCCCUGGACUUUUUGCUCUGCGUGGUGGAGCUCUCAGGCACGCCCUUGCCGGCAGCACAACAUACUGACGAGGUGUGCUUGCCGGGGUCGACGUUGGAGGUCCUCUUGCCGGCCUUCUUCUCUCCCGGGAUCUUCGUAGUGGCGGAAGGGGCCUUGGCGGUGGGCGCCGCCACGGCCUCCCGGUAGAGGCGGUCGGUGCACAAGAGUGCAUCCUUCUUGUCAGCGCGGAUGACGAUGAUGCCGACCGGUCUAGGCAUCUUCAAGGUACCGUAGGCGUAGUGCGAGGCCGCCAUGAAUUUGGCCAACACAGGGCGCCCCAGGAUUCCAUUGUACACGAACGGGUUGUCGGCGACGUCGAAGACGACCUUUCCAGUUCGGUAGUUCUGAUCACUGCCGAAAGUUACCGGCAACGUGAUCUUUCCCUUAGGCUGGAUCUUCCCAGAGUUGAUCCCUUGGAACGCGCCUGUGUCCUCAAGGUCUUCCUUGGGGAUCUGCAGCUUUCGGAUCACAUCAGGGGAGAUGAGAUUCAGGCCAGCCCCUCCGUCUACCAACAUUUUCAUCACCCUGAGGUUGCGGAUCAUUGGUAAUACCAACAACGGCAAGCACGCGACCGCAGUGACGCGGUCUGGGUGGUCCUCAGAGUCGAAAAUGAUCGGUGUCUACGACCAUUUCAGGGUCUUGUGGACACUGAUGGAGGGCUCCGCUGCAAUCACUUCACGUGCCCACUUCUUGAGCUGGCGGUGGGAAGAAUGCAGCGAGGCGCCUCCUUCAAGGCACAUCAUGUCCGUUGCCCUCUAGAAUUUGUGGUCACUGGAGUCGUCGUCGGGGCAGUCUUCAUCAUCACCCUCCUCCAUCUUCUCCCGCGGCUGUGCGGGCCUUGCUUUCUUGCCUUUGAACUUGCCGGGCGACCCCUUGGGCGCCCUUCUUCCCUCCUGACCCUUCGCCACCUUGCCGGGCCUUCUCCUUGUCGCCUCUUUGAUACUCGGCUCUUUGCUUCUCGGCAAGCUGUUCGACCUGCCGACAGUGCCGGAGGUCGUGGCCCUUGGUGCGGUGGAUCUUGCAGUACUGGGCACCGGAGCCAUCCGGUUUGUCGGCGGCCGCCAAGGCCUAGAAGGAGCCACACUGGAAGCGUCCUUGCCGGAGGUCUCGUCUUUCCCCUUCUUGGCGGAGUCGGCAUCGCCGGUCGCCUCGACGGCAAACACGGUCUUGCCGUUUCGCUUCUUGUUACGCCGCCUUCCCCUCUUGGUGGGACGUUGACGUCUUCGUCUUUGGAGUCGGCUUCAACACUGGCGUUCUCACCGAGAAGCCUCCUCCCUUCUUCUGCACGUGCGCAUCUGUCCGCCAGAGCGUAAAGCUCGGCGACCUUGCGGACUUUGUUCAUCGCCAGCUCUUCGUGCAUCUUUCGAUUGCGCACGUUCUGGUGGAACGCGCUGAUGAUGGUAGUUGGGUGAAUGUCCGAGAUGUUGUGCUAGAUGCGGCUGAACCUCUGGAUGUACUUGCGUAGGGAUUCACCCUCCUUUUGGGGGAUGAUGUGCAAGUCGCUUUCCUGACCAGGAGCUCUGUGGCCGCCAGUGAAGUUGCCAACAAAGUCCUGGCACAAUUCUUUCCAGGAGGAAAUGGGGUUCUUGAGGAGAUGCAUCAACCAUGACCUGACGUUCGGCUUAAGCACCAACGGAAAGUAGUUGGCUAAUAUCUUCUUGUCUCGUCCCCCGGCAGCCUGCAUCGUGAUGGUGUAGAUGCUGAGUAACUCCGACGGGUGGGUCUUCCCAUCGUACUUUUCCGGAAUCUCGGGCUUGAAAAUACGGGAGAUUGGUCCACUAGACUCGCCGUAACUAGCGGGUAAACGCUGGAUAGACCACCUCAUAGGGUAGGUCGCCAGGGUACCCUGAAGCUGGCAUCCCAACAGUGGUUCCAGCGCGCAUAUCCGAUUGACGGUGCGUCUCGCAUCGUUGCUCGAUGAGGGUGCGAGCGUCUUCCCCGCGUCGUUCAUGGAGGAUGUCUUGCUGGUCACAACGGUGGCGGGGGUCGGAAGACCCGGUCGAGUCGUCAGAGACGAUGACCUGUUGCCGUCGCCGUGGAGGAUAGUGCACUGUGGCGUGGGACGCCCCAGUCUUCUUAGUAUGGUCUUGAGCGUGCUUGCGUGGGGGUCUUUGACCGUCCCGCUGCUGUGGCUGGUCUCCAUUGGCGACUAGUGGAGGAGGUCUUUGGCUAGUUUGCGGCUCCUCCACUUCCUCNNNNNNNNNNNNNNNNNNNNNNNNNNNNNNNNNNNNNNNNNNNNNNNNNNNNNNNNNNNNNNNNNNNNNNNNNNNNNNNNNNNNNNNNNNNNNNNNNNNNAAGACCCGGUCGAGUCGUCAGAGACGAUGACCUGUUGCCGUCGCCGUGGAGGAUAGUGCACUGUGGCGUGGGAGCCCCAGUCUUCUUAGUAUGGUCUUGAGCGUGCUUGCUGGGGGUCGUUUUGACGUCCCCGCCUGCUGUGGCUGGUCUCCAUUGGCGACUAUGAGGAGGCUUUGCAUUGUGGCUCUCCACUCCUCUCGCUUGUCCGCCGUUGGAGGGAAAUCUAGGAGCAGAUGGGCUCGCUUCAGGGCUUCCGCCCGCGUGGGUGGCGGCGAGAUGUGCGAGGACCUCGAGGGGCUCUUACUCCUAAUUGUGUUAGAAGAAGCACCCUGUUCGUCACACGGUGGCUCACCAGCCUGCGCCAUACCAGAGCGAGUACGCCUGCUCGGCGUGCCCCGAGAACGGGGUCCAGGGGUCCCCUUAGGUGGGGGCGGAUCGCCGCCCUCCUAGGGCGAUCCGUCCUGUCUGGCCUAAGAGGGUCGUGAAGCGUGUGUUUGCAUGGGCGCCUUGAAAGGCGCGACGCAUCCUUGGACGUGGCCGCGCCGUCGGUUGGUCACGCGGCUGUGUCCUUCGACACACCAGGGCGUGGAUGAUGUCUGUGGUUGCGUGCGACUCCACUUGCCCGGUUUUGUUCUCCACAAUGUUGCGGAAGCUCGGGGCCUCCAUCUCCUUGUCCCACGCUCGUACCUCCUCCUACCCCCGCCGGGGCCGGAGGGCUGGGCGCGGGAGCGUUGGUCGCCGGAGCUCCCCUUUUCUUGGGGGCCAUGGUGAUGUAGAUGAGGUGGUGCACUGAUGGCUAGGUCAGGUUAACGCAACCUUCCCCCAACCUGGCGCGCCAAAGAUGUCGGCGAUGCGAGGUCGACACCUAUGGGAAUCAACAUAAAACCCUUGUGAUCGUAGGGCGGGGAGAGGUGACGUGAGAGCAGAGCUAACAAUCAGCACCCGACAAGCCUUUUUACCCAGGUUCGGGCCGCUUAUGCGUAAAACCCUAUGUCGUGCUUGUGUGGUUAUAUUAAGCAUUUCGUUAUUGAUUGUUACAAUGACUGUCAUAUGGGUUGAUGUCCAAACAGUCUAACCCCUUCGAAAUGAGCUAAGGGCCUCCUUUUAUAGGCAAAGGGGUCGCCUAAAAUGCUCAAUGGUAGGUUCAGAGGAGUUACAGUGAACCUAGGGCGGUGCUUAUCCAUCUAACGCUGUGCAGGUGCAGGCACGUAUCCAGGUGUUUCAACACUUGGACGCUGCACUGGCGCAUGCGGAAUGCGCUGGCACUUGGGUGCGGUGGCACUGUGGCAAGGGAGGUUUCCCACCAGUGGCCAGGCCCGUCAUCCUAGCAAGGAGCUUGCCGGGGCCUUGAGUCUUCGUCCCGGCAAGGGAUCUUGCCGGGGGCUUUAGUCGUCAUCCCGACAAGGGAGCUUGCUGGGGUCUUGUACUUCGCUAGUUCAUCACUCCCACCAACUGGGCGCGGCCUUGGUCAUCUUCCCAGCAAGGCAGGCUUGCCGAGGCCUUGAUAAUCUUGGGUUUGCAUCUUGACUGGGUCCUGUCAUGCCCUGCCGGCAGGGGCUCUCCACGCCCGUGCACAAGUUUGGGGUACUAGGGACCCCAGUCUUUAGUGCACCGAUAGUCAUGUUGAUUUCCCUAGAGAAAAUGGUUUAAAUAUCAUCCACCUAUUAAAGAAAAAAUUGAAGAACCAAUUAAAGUUGAAUCUGAAACUAUUAUUUACAAUGUUCACCCAGUUGUGACUACAUCUUACAUUGAGAAACCACCUUUCCCUAUUACGAUAGAGCAACAUGCUAAAGCUUAACCGCGGCUAAUGAAAGUUAUGUUAGAACAACCAAACCCCCUGAGAAAAUCAAGGUAGAACCUAGUACCGCUAUCGUUAAAGAUCUCUUGGUAGACAAUAUUGAUGGGCAUGUUAUUUAUUUCUGUAAUGAAGCUGCUAAAAUUGCCAAACCUGAUACUAAAGACAAGAAUAGACCUCUUGUUGGCAUGUGUGUUGUUUCAGUCAAAAUAGGAGAUCAUUGAUAGCAUGGUUUAUGUGAUAUGGGUCCUAGUGUCAGAGUUAUCCUUUUACCUUAUAUCAAGAAAUUAUGCAUGAGAGAGCACCCGCUGAGAUAGAAGACAUAUAUGUUACUAUUAAACUUGCCAAUAGAGACACCAUCACACCACUUGGGAUUGUUAGAGAUGUUGAAGUCUUGUGUGGGAAAGUAAAAUACCCUACUAAUUUUCUAGUACUUGGUUCACCACAUGAUAAUUUUUGUCCCAUAAUAUUUGGUAGACCCUUCUUGAACACUGCCAAUGCUCAAAUAGAUUGCAAAAAGGAGACUGCCAGUGCUAAUUUUGGAGGUACAUCUCAUGAGUUUCAUUUCUCCUAGUUUAGAAAACAACCCCAUGACAAAGAAUUGCCUAGUAAAGGUGAAUUAAUUGGUCUUGCUUCCAUUUCCAUUCCUCCCAUGGAUCCAUUAGAACAAUAUUUGCUAGACCAUGAAAAUCAUAUGCAUAUGCAUGAAAGAAAUGAAAUAUAUAAUAUGUUCUUUGAGCAAAAACCUAUCCUUAAACACAAUUUGCAUGUCGAAACUCUAGGAGGUCCUCCUCCACCCAAGGGUGACCUUGCGUUUGAAUUAAAGAAAUUACGUGACACUUUGAAAUAUGCUUAUCUUGAUGAAAAGAAUAUAUAUCUUGUUAUUAUCAGUGCUAACCUUACACAACAUGAAUAAGAAAGAUUAUUAAAAACUUGAAGGAAGCACUGAGCUGCUAUUGGGUAUACUCUUGAUAAUCUUAAGGGCAUUAGUCCCACUCUCUGCUAGCACAAGAUUAAUAUGGAACUAGAAGCUAAACUCGUUGUUGAUCACCAACGAAGACUGAAUCCCAAAAUGAAAGAAGUGGUGAGAAAUGAAAUAUUAAAUCUUCUAGAAGCAGGUAUAAUUUAUCCCAUAGAUGAUAGUAGAUGGGUAUGUCCCAUUCAUUGUGUCUCUAAGAAAGGAGGUAUUACUGUUGUUCCUAAUAAUAAAAAUGAACUCGUUCCACAAAUAACUGUGACUGGCUGUAGAAUGGUAAUUGAUUUUAGAAAAUUAAACAAAGCUACUAGAAAAUAUCAUUAUCAUGUACUGUUCAUAGACCAAAUUCUAGAAAGAUUACGGAAGCACACACAUUUUUGCUUUCUAGAUGGCUAUUCUGUUUUCUCUCAAAUACGUGUGUCUCAACCUGAUUAAGAAAAACCACCUUUACUUGUCCUUUUGGAACCUAUGCUUAUAGACGUAUGCAUUUUGUAUUAUGCAAUGCACCUGCUACCUUUCAGAGAUGUAUGAAUGCUAUAUUCUCUGUUUUUGUGAAAAGAUUGUUCAGGUCUUCAUGGAUGAUUUCUCCAUUUAUGGAACUUCUUUUGAUGAUUGCUUAAGCAACCUUGAUCGAGUUUUAUAGAGAUGUGAGCAAACUAACCUUGUCUUGAAUUGGGAGAAGUGACACUUUAUGGUGAAUGAAGGUAUUGUCUUGGGUCAUAAAAUUUCUGAACGGGUUAUUGAGGUGGAAAAAGCUAAAUUUGAUGCAAUUAAGAAGAUACCAUGCCCAAAAGAUAUUAAACGUAUCCAUAGUUUCCUUGGUCAUGCCGGUUUCUAUAGGAGGUUUAUUAAAGACUUCUCUAAGAUUUCUAGGUCUUUUACUAAUUUAUUACAAAAGAAUGUUCCGUUUGUUUUUAAUGAUGAAUGUGUAGAAUCCUUUGAAACACUUAAGAAAGCCUUAACUUCUGCACCUAUUGUUCAACCAAUUGAUUGGAACUUGCCUUUUGAAAUUAUGUGUGAUGCUAGUGAUUAUGUUGUUGGUGAUGUUCUAGGACAAAGAGUCGAUAAGAAACUAAAUGCCAUUCAUUAUGCUAGUAAAUCUCUAGACAGUGCCUAGAGAAGUUAUGCUACCACUAAAUUAGAAUUCUUAGCAGUUGUAUUUGCUAUUGAUAAAUUCAGAUCUUACAUUGUUGAUUCUAAAGUAAUUUUUCACACUCAUCAUGAUGAUAUUAAAUAUCUUAUGGAAAAUAAAUAUGCUAAGCCUAGACUUAUUAGGUGGGUUUUCUUUCUACAAGAAUUUGAUUUGCAUAUCAUUGAUAGGAAAGGAGCUGAGAACCCCAUAGCGGCUAACUUGUCUAGGUUAGAAAAUGUACUUGGUGACUCACUACCUAUUUAUGAUAGCUUUCCUGAUGAACAACUAACUGUGGUCAAUGUUUCUCAUAGCACAGUGUGGUUUGCUGAUUAUGCUAAUUACAUUGUUGCUAAAUACAUACCAACUAUUUUCACAUAUCAGCAAAAGAAAAAAUCUUCUUUCAUUUAAGACAUUACUUUUGGGAUGACCCACAUCUUUAUAAAGAGGGAGUAGAUGGUAUUAUUAGACUUUGUAUACCUGAGCAUGAACAAGAACAAAUCCUUCGGGAGUGUCACUCUGAGGCUUAUGGAGGACUACACACAAGGUAUUAAGUCUCGAUUUUAUUGGCCUACUCUUUUCAAAGAUGCUCAUAAGUUUGUCCUCUCUUGUGAUGAGUGUCAAAGAAUUGGUAAUAUUUGUAAACGCCAAGAAAUGCCUAUGAAUUAUUCACUUGUUAUCAAACCAUUUGAUGUUUGUGGAUUUGAUUAUAUGGGACCUUUUCCUUCCUCUAAUGGGUAUACACGUAUUUUGGUUGUUGUUGAUUAUGUCACUAAAUGGGUAGAGGCUAUUCCAACCAAUAGUGUUGAUCAUAGCACCUCUAUUAAGAUGUUUAAGGAAGUUAUUUCCCAUGUUUUGGAGUCCCUAGAUAUUUAAUGACUGAUGGUGGUUUACAUUUUAUUCAUGGUUCUUUUCAUAAGCUGCUUGCUAGAAAUGAUGUUAACCAUAGAAUCGCAUCUCCCUAUCAUCCUCAUUCUAGUGGUCAAGUAGAAUUAACCAAUAGAUAAAUAAAAUUAAUAUUGCAAAAUACUGUCAAUAGAUCCUGAAAGAACUGGUCUAAGAAAUUAGGUGAUGCAUUGUGGGUCUAUAGAACAACUUGUAAAAAAUCCUAUGGGAAUGUCUCCUUAUAAAAUGGUUUAUGGGAAAGCAUGUCAUUUACCUAUUGAGUUAGAACAUAAAGCUUAUUGGGCAAUUAAAGAAAUCAACUAUGAUUUCAAACUUGCUGGUGGAAAGAGGUUAUUUGAUAUUAGCUCAUUAGAUGAAUGGAGAACCCAAGCUUAUGAAAAUGCCAAACUAUUCAAAGAAAACGUUAAAAGAUGUCAUGACAAGAGAAUCCAAAAGUGAGAAUUCAAAGUUGGUGAAUAUGUUCUAUUGUACAAUUCUCGUCUUAGAUUCUUUGCACGAAAACUUCUAUCCAAAUGGGAAGGACCAUAUAUCAUCGAAGAAGUUUAUCAGUUUGGAGCUAUUAAGAUCAAUAAUCCUGAAUGCACUAGACCGGAGGUGGUCGAUGGACAAAGAAUAAAGCACAACAUCUCAGGUACCCCAAUUAAUGUUCAAACAAAUAUUAUCCAAACCAUGACACUGAAGGAGCACAUUAAGGGGACCUUCCAGGACACUCUAGAACCUUUAAAAGGAAGAGGUAUGUGAUACGGUAAGUAAACAGACUCAGAAAAAUCCGCAGAAAUAUUUUCUAGAAGUCUUGAAUUUUAGAAAAUUUAGGAAACUAAGAAACACAGGGGAAGCAACUGAGGUGUCCACCAGACACAAGGGCGCUCUAGGCCCCCCUGGCGUGGCCUGAUGUCUAGUGGGCCCCUCGGGUACCUUCUUGGCUCCAUUUCCUUGUGGAACACGUAUUCCCUUGUAUAAAAAUUCUCUCUAUAUGUAUCUCCCAAUGAUUUGACCCUAGUAGCAUGGAGAAAUCAUGUGUUCUGUUUUUUUGUACAGAUCUAGAUUACCAUGGCCUCAUCAAGCUCCUCCCAAGGACAAGUUCUUUGAGAAGGUCAUCAACCCCUACUUACUAGAGGUGUUGAAUCACCCUCAAACCAUUGAGAUGUGUGAUGGGGUGCUUCACAUCCAGGAUGUUCAAGGGCCAAAGAAGAUGGGAAUCGUGGAAGCUAGGAUCGAGGCGAUGGAGUAGGAGGUCUUCAGGUGCCAAGGCAUGGUGGAGCGUGGACUCAGUGCCAACCACACCAUGAUCACGAAAAUUACCGGUGAUCUAAAGGUGGAUGGCAGGCCCUUGGAGGAUAUCGUCUUCACCCUCAAUGAUCAAAUCAAUUUUAUGCAAGGCUAAGUCUUCGAUCUUCAAAACCAAAUCUUUGGGUAUGAAUCAAGGUUUAAAGGUAUGAGUUUAGCUGCCAGUUGCAGGACCCUGGAGACUCGUGCCUCUUCUUAUAAUGGUGGACCACUGCCAUGGAAGCUGGAGGACACACGCGACCUCACUGAAAGGACGUGGAUGUCGCCUAUAGGUGGGGUGAAUAGGUGCUUUAAAAUAAUUACGGUUUAGGCUUGAACAAAUGCGGAAUAAAACUAAUGUUUAAUUUGUCAAGCACAAAACCUAAAACAACUAGGCUCACCUAUGUGCACCAAGAACUUAUGCUAAGAAAGAUAAACAACUAUGUGAUAGCAAGAUAUAUAACAAGAAACAAUAUGGCUAUGACAAAGUAAAGUGCAUAAGUAAAGGGCUCGGGUAAUAGAUAACUGAGGCAUGAGGAGACGAUGAUGUAUCCCGAAGUUUACACCCUCGCGGAUGAUAAUCUCCAUUUGGAUUUGUGUGGAGGCACAAUGCUCCCCAAGAUGCCACUAAGUCCACCUUAAUAUCUUCACGCCCUCACACGAUGCAAGAUGUCAUGAUUCCACUAAGGGACCCUUGAGGGCGGUCACCGAACCCGUACAAACAAGGUUAGGGCAAUCUCCACAACUUAAUUGGAGGCUCCCAACAACACCACAAAGCUUCGCCACAAUGGAAUAUGGAUUUGAGCUAACCUCAAAUGCUCGGGAAAUCUCCACAUCCUAAUUGGAGACCCCGACGCUUGCCCAGAGCUUUAAACCACAAUGAUUGAUAUCUCAGGUACCACCAAGAUUCUAGGAUGCCAAAACACUCAAGAAGAACAAGCUCUAAGGUACCAAGCACCCAAGAGUAAUAAGCUUCUCAAACUUUACUUCCACGUAUCACCGUGGAGAACUCAAACCUAUGCACCAAAUGCAAUGACAAGCGCACACGGAGUGCCCAUGUCCUUCUCUCCCAAAUCCCACCACAACAAGUAAUGCUAUGGUGGAAAAUGAGAGGAAGAACAAAGAAGAACACGAAGAACUCCAAGAACUAGAUCCAAGGGUUCCCUCACAUAGAGGAGAAAGUUAUUAGUGGAAAUGUGGAUCUAGAUCUCCUCUCUCUUUUCCCUAGAAAAGGAGCAAGAAUCAUUGGAGGGAUUGAGAGUUAGCAAGCUCUAAGCAGGUCAACAAUGGGGGGGGGGCAAAAACGAGCUCUAGAGUUGGGGAACCAUUGGGGAAGAAUACCCCCUUAAAUAGGUUCCCACAAAUCUACCCGUUAUGUGCAGAAUAACAUAGGGGUGGUACGUCCGGUGAUGUGGGUGGUAUAACCGGUAAAUGUAAUAUAGCGGUACAACCAAUACGUCCCAAACGUAUCUAUAAUUUCUGCUUGUUCCAUGAUAUUUUGGGUGACAUUGUUAUAUGUUUUGCUACACUUUUAUAUCAUUUUACACAUAUUUGGACUAACCUACUAACUCAGUGCACCUAGUGCCAGUUUCUGUGUGCUGAUGUCUAUUUCCCAGGGCUUUUACCCAAUUUUCCGAAGCCCAAAAAAUCCAGAAAAAUCUAUAAAAAUCAGCGAAACAUAAGAUUCUAGACCACUGAAGGAGGGCCAGAGGGGGACCAGGGGCCUCCCAGGUGGCCUGCUGGCGCGGCCAGGCCUUAGGCCGCGUCAGGAGGUCACCUGGUGGGUCCCACCUCCUCCGGUGCCCUCCUCUGGCCUAUACUUAGAGUCCCGAGAGGAAACCCUUGCAGACUUUCUUGAAUCGCGAAUUUCUCCAUCGUUCCGUCGCCGCAACGCUUCCAAGAUCAGGAGCGUCAAGAGACCUCUUCCUGGCACCCUGCCGAAGGGAUGAUUGAGCUCUGGGAGCUUCUCCACCGCCAUGGACGCUUCCCGGACGUGCCGUGAGUAGUCCUCCUUGGAUCAUGAGUCCAUGACCAGUAGCUAUGUGAUGUCUUCUCUCCAAUCUUGUGCUUCAAUGGUUACUCCUUGUGAGCUGCCCUACAUGAUCAAGGCAUCUAUGUAAUUCUCUUGCUAUUGCUAUGCUCCGUUUGUUGCGAUCCGAUGGAUUAUGAGAUUAUGUUCAUAUUGUUAUGAGUUAUAUAUUUGAUUGUACUUUUAUAUUAUGUUCCUUAGUUAUUCAUGCAUGUUCUCCGUUGCUUUUUAUUGCUUUGGCCAAGUAGUAGAUUGUAACUCCAAGAGGGGGCGUUAUGCAUGAUUGUGGGUUCGGGCCCCUCGAUGUCUAGCUUGAGUGACAGAAACAUGAGACUAGGGGAUGUGCUUGUUGCCACCAGGGACAAAACAACGGUGCUUAUGGCCACAGUUACAAGGAUUGUUUACCUUACUCAUAGUUCGUUAAUGCAGUUGUCCAUUGCUUUGAGUUUACACUUUGGGUGGGGCUCGCAACUUAAUACCGAAGAGAUGUUCUGGAUAGAUAUCUCAAGGUGGAUGAUUAGUAAGUAGAUGCUGAUGAAUAAACGCUCUACUUGUCUUGGCGUACUGCCCGUUACUAUUGGACCUCUAACUAUCAAGGAGCAUAAUUAGCAUUGCGAUGCGAUCAUAAUUCUGUCAAUUGCCCAAUUUUGAUUUGUUUACCCUUGUAUAGCUAUUUAUCAUCUUUUGGGAGAGAGACAUCACUAGUGAAAAUCAUUUGACUCCGGUCCAUAUCACCAUCAUUGUUUAUACCUCCAUCAUUUACCGCUUUCAUUUACUUUUCCGUUGCAAUCACUAUUACCUUCCCGCUUGUGUUUUGAACGUUUGCAAACUACAAGGCUGGAGAGAUUGACAACCUCUGUGUACUCAUUAGGAGCAAAGUUAUUUGUUGUGUGUGCAGGUCCACGUAUUCUGCUAGCGCCAGGGUGGAAGACACCUACUUGUUGAUCCUAGGAGUCCUUCUGGUUCGAUAAACCUGACAGUUUCCAUGUGAGGGAAACUUGCUGUUGAGUACAUCUGCACCUUCCACUUGGGGUAUCCAACGAGGGGCGAGAAGUAUAUCCAUCAACUUGUCAUCAAGCGAAUUUCUGGCGCUGUUGCCGAGGACUCCAGUCUUCAAGAUAGGGGAGUUGCACGCUAUCUUUUACUUUUUCUUUUUAGUCUUUUUAGUUUGAUUUCUAGUUUUUGCUUCAGAGUCUUAUAACAAAAACCACAAAAAAAUAAGUUUCUUUGUUCUUGCUUGUUGCUGCUGUUAUGGGUUCCACUGAGAACACUAAGUUGUGUGACUCCACUAGUUAGGCUUAUGGAAAACUGCGCUCUUAGUUUGCUGCUUGCGGAAGGCCACUUUACCACACCCGUGGUAGAGAAGUCUCCUCCACCUACUGAAUGUAUCCCAUUCAAAAUACCACUUGGGAUAAUUGAAAUAUUUAGGAAUGAUUGUUAUGCAGGAGAUGGAACAGUCAAUCCUAGUAUUCAUUUGUUGAAACUUACAGAACUUUGUGAGUUGUUUAAUAUUACAGGUUUUACAAGAGAUGGAGUCAUGAGGUAAUUAUUUGCCUUGUCACUGAAAAGAAAAUCACUGGAAUGGUAUAGGCUACUAGAUGAUUCUCACCUACGGGAUUGGGAAGAGAUUCAGUCUCUCUUUUACUCCAAGUUUUAUCCUCUUCAUGAAGUCCAUGUGGAUCAUGGUAACAAUGCUCUAUGUGAUACUUAUGUUGUUGAUUUUAUUCAUGUUCCCGCUGAAAAUUAUUAUGAUAAGGGAACAUACGCUUAUAGAUAUUUCAGUAAUAUCAAGUUUCCUCUCUUUAUGUUCAAGGUGUUGAUGCUGCACUUGUUUUGCCUUCCUAUGCUUAUUGCUUUGUGCUUCAAUGAAUUAUUCUAUUGCAAUAUUCCUAUGCAUAGGAAACAUGUUAGACUUAAAUGUGUUUGUUAUUUUCUUCUUGAUGCUCUCUUUUGUUCUAGAACUCUUAUUCCUACGAGAGCAUCAUUAAAAUCUUAAGCCUAUCUUUAUGCUAUAAAGAAAGAGCUCUAGGGAGACAACCCUUGUUAUCUUUACUUUGAGUUUUUUACUUUCACUUUCAGUGGUCUUGAUGCUUGUUACUACUGUAUCAACAUCAUUGUAUCUUUAUUUUCAAGCUUUGUGCCAAUUUAUAGCCUCCAAUUGCAAGAAAGUUCAAAAAUUGUGACAUGAUGUCUAGAAACAGAUUCUGUCUGCCUCACGAAAAAAUUUGCCAAAAAUCAUCACAUCAUAUUUUGAUCUGUAAUUUUUUAAAGCAUGAUCUAUAUAAUUUCCUUUCUGUCAUCUGUUCUGUAGUUUUUUAUUUGAGUUGCAUAAGUACCCCGAAACUAAUUAUUUACUACCUGUUGUUCUUGUUUUUCACCGUAUUCUGCCUAUUGUUUUGUCGUUUUCUAUUUGUUUUGACUAAAUCCUAAGUAUUUACUUUUUAUUUGACUAAAAACCUUUUGUACAAUCAUAGAAUAAAUUAUUAUUCUUUUACAUAGUAAAAUUAUUUAUUCCNNNNNNNNNNNNNNNNNNNNNNNNNNNNNNNNNNNNNNNNNNNNNNNNNNNNNNNNNNNNNNNNNNNNNNNNNNNNNNNNNNNNNNNNNNNNNNNNNNNNAGCAAGAUAAAUACUGCAGGCACUGAAAUUAGUCGGUACAAGUGAUUGUGUGGUGAGAUGAUCGUAGCAAGCAACAAGUAACAAAAGUAAGCAACGGUGCAGCAAAGUGGCCCAANCCCUUUGUAUCAAGGGACAAGCCUGGASAAAGUACGUUAAUUACGGUAGGUAAAAACGGAACGUACCCGACGGACGACUACGGGAACGUUUAAUUAGKUCAUGCUAGUUUUCAUCAUGUUCAUAUGAUUCGCGUUCGUUACUUUGAUAGUUUGGUAUGUGGGUGGACCAGCGCUUGGGUACUAUCCUUACUUGGACAAGCAUCCCACUUAUGAUUAACCCCUCUCGCAAGCAUCCGCAACUAUGGAAGAAGAAUUAAGACAAAGCCUAACCAUAGCAUUAAACUAGUGGAUCCAAAUCAGCCCCUUAAGAAGCAACGCAUAAACUAGGGUUUAAGCUUCUGUCACUCUAGCAACCCAUCCUCUACUUACUACUUCCCAAUGCCUUCCUCUAGGCCCAAAUAAUGGUGAAGUGUUAUGUAGUCGACGUUCACAUAACACCACUAGAGGAAAAACAACAUACCACAUAUCAAAUUACCGAACGAAUACCAAAUUCACAUGACUACUAUUAGCAUGACUUAUCCCAUGUCCUCAGGAACAAAAGUAACUACUCACAAAGCAUAAUCAUAUUCAUGACCAAAGAGGUAAUGAGUAGCAUCAAGGAUAUGAACAGAAACUCUUCCACCAAAUAAUCCAACUAGCAUCAACUACAAAGAGUAAUCAACACUACUAGCAACCUUACAAGUACCAAUCGGAGUCGCGAGAUGGAGAUUGGUUACAAGUGAUGAACUAGGGUUUGGAAAUGAGAUGGUGAUGAUGAAGAUGUUGAUGGUGACGAGUCCCUCCGAUGAGAGGAGUGUUGGUGAUGACGAUGGCGAUGAUUUCCCCUCCGGGAGGGAAGUUUCCCCGGCAGGAUCGUCCUGCCGGAGCUCUAGAUAGGUUCUGCUCAAGUUCCGCCUCGUGGCGGCGGCGAAUCCACGAAAAAGUUGCUCCCUUAUUUUUUUGUCUAGACGAAACCCUUCAUAUAGCACAAGAGGGGGGCAAGUGGGCGAGCAGGCUUCCCACAAGCCCUCAUGGCGCAGCCUGGGGGGUGGUCGCGUCGUGCAGGCUUGUGGCCAACCCCUGGCGCCCCUCUGGCACUUCUUCGGCCCAGUAUUUUCUAUAAAUCCGGAAAAAUCCUCGUUGAUUUUUCCGGCAUUUGGAGUUGCGCAGAAUAGGUAUCUCAAACUUGCUCCACUUUCAGGCAAGAAUUCCAGCUGCCGGCAUUCUCCCUGUUCAUGUAAACCUUGGAAAAUAAGAGAGAAAAGGCAUAAGAAUUGUACCGUGAAGUGAAAUAACAGCCCAUGAAGCGAUAAAUACCCUUUUUCUCUUUGAUUUUUCUUCUCUCCUCCGCAAUGACCCGAGAGACUCCUCGGUCAAUAUCCAAUAGCGGGACCUGGAUGCCCAUAUUGGAUCCUACAUAUUCUCCAAAGAUCUUAUCGGUUGAACCUGAGUGUCAAGGAUUCAUAUAAUCCCGUAUGUCAUUCCCUUUGUCCUUCGGUAUGUUACUUGCCCGAGAUUCGAUCGUCAGUAUCCGCAUAGCUAUUUCAAUCUUGUUUACCGGCAAGUCUCUUUACUCAUUCUGUAAUACAAGAUCCCGUGACAUACACUAAGUCACAUUGCUUGCAAGGCUUGUGUGUGAUGUUGUAUUACCGAGUGGGUCCCGAGAUACCUCUCCGUCACACGGAGUGACAAAUCCCAGUCUUGAUCCAUACUAACUCAACGGACACCUUUGGAGAUACCUGUAGAGCAUCUUUAUAGUCACCCAGUUACGUUGUAACGUUUAAUACACACAAGGUAUUCCUUCGGUGCCAGUGAGUUAUAUGAUCUCAUGGUCAUAGUAAUAAAUACUUAACACGCAGAAAAAUAGUAGCAACAAAAUGACACGAUCAACAUACUACGUUCAUUAGUUUGGGUCUAGUCCAUCACAUGAUUCUCCUAAUGAUGUGAUCCCGUUAUCAAGUAAUAACACUUGCCUAUGGUCAGGAAACCUUGACCAUCUUUGAUCAACGAGCUAGUCAACUAGAGGCUUACUAGGGACAAUAUUUUGUCUAUGUAUCCACACAAGUAUUGUGUUUCCAAUCAAUACAAUUAUAGCAUGGAUAAUAAACGAUUAUCAUGAACAAAUAAACAUAAUAAUAACUAAUUCAUUAUUGCCUCUAGGGCAUAUUUCCAACAGUCUCCCACUUGCACUAGAGUCAAUAAUCUAGUUCACAUCACUAUGUGAUUCCAACGAAUCCAACACCCAUAUAGUUCUGGGAUCUGAUCACGUCUUGCUCGUGAGAGAGGUUUUAGUCAACGGUUCUGAAACUUUCAGAUCCGUGUGUUAUUUACAAAUCUUUAUGUCAUCUUAUAGAUGCUGCUACUACGUGCUAUUCGGAAAUACUCCAAAUAUCUACUCUACUAUAUGAAUCCGUUUCACUACUCAUAGUUAUUCGGAUUAGUGUCAAAGCUUGCACUGACGUAACCCUUUACGAUGAACUCUUUAGCACCUCCAUAAUCGAGAAAAAUUCCUUAGUCCAUUAGUUACUAAGGAUAACUUUGACCGUUGUUCAGUGAUUCAAUCCUGGAUCACUCUCUGUACCUCUUAACAGACUUGUGGCAAGGCACACAGGGAUAGGNNNNNNNNNNNNNNNNNNNNNNNNNNNNNNNNNNNNNNNNNNNNNNNNNNNNNNNNNNNNNNNNNNNNNNNNNNNNNNNNNNNNNNNNNNNNNNNNNNNNAACUUACGUAUGUAAACCUUAGUCAUACUAGUGAGAGAAAGGAMWUUAGGUAAAUUAACUUACCUACCAACGUGGUAAAAUAGACAUAAAAACACUAUAAACAAUAGUAAUAAAMCAUGAUGCAAAAUGGAUGUAUCAUGGUCCUUCCUAUUGCUAAGUUUUCGAGUCUCCAACCCAAGCCUCCGCAUUCUAAAACCCUUCGAGUUGCAUAAGCCAUCCUUUUUUUUCUUAUCACACGUUGUUCUGUUUCCUGUGGGUGGUACUACCGCUUGUCGGGAACGGUAUUAGCUCUCCAGAUGGGUACUAUCGCACCUACCAAUGGGACUACUACUAGAGCGGUACUACCCUACCUCCAACCUGACAGUAGUACGAGGGCGGUACUACUGCUCGUCUGAGUGGUACUAUCGCUUAGAGGUGCGUGGGGGGUUAAGUGUCGGGCAGGGGGAAUUCCAACUCCCUCAUACCAAUCACCCUCUUCUCCCCACCACUCUUGUGACGCCCCAACUUAAUCGUACGCUAAUCUUAGACGGAAACGCGUACGACCAAGAUUAGGGACUCAGGAGAAGAUAUCACAACAGAACUCUAGGGACAAAUUAAAGUCAUACAAGCUUCAUAUUACAAUCCAGGGCCUCAAGGGCUUGAAUACAUAAGCUCGAAUACACAAGAGUCAGCGGAAGCCUAUAAUAUCUGAGUACAGACAUAAAUCAACAAGUUUUUCCUUAAGAAGGCUAGCACAAACAUAAAAACGGGUCGAAAAGGCAAGGACUCCUGCCUAGAAGCCUCCUAACUACUCAUGGUAGUCAGCGGACUCCACGUAGUAGUAGGCUUUGUCGAGGGUUAGUAGUAGUGAUCGGCGGGAUCAACCAUCUCCUGGGCUCCAUCAUCUCGUCAAGGCAAUCGUAUCAAGAACAAAAGGGGGAGCAAAGCAACAGUGAGUACUCGCAAGACUAACAUCAGAUCUAUGCUAAGUAUGCAUCAAUAUCAAAGGAAUGAGUCUAUAUCUUUGCACUGACGGUAGAAAUGCCAGAACAGAGAAGGAAGACCUAGUCCUAUCGAAGACUAGCAUCUUCAAAGUCUUGCAGCAUUAGAAGACUGUAGAUCAGUAACACAUAUGUAAUAAUUAUGUUGGAGGAAAUUUAUUUAAAAACACCCAAAGAUACUUCCUCGACUCCCAGCGAGAAGGCAAUCUCGGAGCUAACAUUUCAAUUUAAGUCACAUUUCUAGUUGUAUUAGAUCAUGAUACAACUCUAGGUUGUCCUUUUACCAUGGACACGACUAUUCGAAUAGUUUAAUCAUCCCUGCAAGGGUGCACCAUAUUUCCCAACACGCUUGAUAACCUCUAGCUGGACACACUUUCCUGGGUCAUGACCGGCCUCGGGACAUCAACGCGUCGUAGCCCUACCUAGCAACAAAGAGGACACCUGCCGGACUAAAUCCUAUUCGAGAAGGGGUCUUGGGCCCAUCGCCCUUUGCACUCCUGCACAGGCGACCGAAAUCAGUCAUGGCACCUGUUAUACAAGAUCAAUGCUUACGCAGAACACUCAGGUGCGUGCCGCUCCAAUGCUGACAUCUGAAGAGCUUCGACUGAUACAACAACGUCGAGUACCCAUAAUUGUUCCCCGUGAAGGUUGGUUUGUAUAGGCCAAUCAACCAACUCAGAUCAAAUACCCGAACCCAUUAAUGUUUUUAACUGCGGUGACGAUCAAUGACCCACGAUAUGUGGUCCCAUCGCCCCAUCUCGAGGAUGUGCGGCAAGGGCAAAGAAUGUGUGGCCAUGCCUCAUCACAAUCACGCGGGUAUCCACCCGCUCCACACAUCUCAUCAUGUUCAAGUAGUAAAGUUAAGGCAACCGUGUGUCUAUAACAUUAGAGGAAUCUGAGGUAUCACCCUCGAUAGAUUCCAAUCGAUGUAAACGUCAAGGUCAUCAGGGAUGAAUGACCCUCGAUGGUUAACACUUGAGGGGUUGCACAAUAGAGUCGUUAUUGAAUGUAGUGAAGGAGGAAUCAUCCUCCGUAAUCCACCUUUGGUUAACUACACUACUGAGUUAACAUCAGGAGUACAUUACGAGGUAUCGCCGUCGAUAAUUGCUACUUGUAAACUGUGUUGGGUUUUUAUCGCCGAAGAGGAGAGGAUGAUGCAGCACAGUAAAGUAAAUAUUUCCCUCACUUAAGAAACCAAGGUUAUCAAUCUAGUAGGAGAACCAAGCAAAACCGGCACCUGCACACACAACGCAAUCCUUCGCACCCAACGUAGACGAGAGGUUGUCAAUCUCUUGGCGGUCAAAAGCGAGAUUAAAUGAUAUAUGGUAGAUUGAUAGAUUGAUAGACUGAUAAAUAAAUAAAAGAUAAAAGAGUGCAAUGAGUAUUUUUGGUAUUUCUGUAUAAGUAAUCGAGAUUGAUCUUAUAAUAAAACUAGACACGGGGGGCGUAGGAUUCACUAGUGGCAUCUCUCUCAAGAAAAUAGCAUACGGUGGGUAAACAAAUUACUGUUGGGAGAUUGAUAGAAAAGAAAAUAAUUAUGAUGCUAUCCAAGGCAAUGAUCAUUAUAUACACAUCGACCGCUAUCCAGCAUGCAUCUAGCGCAUUAAGUUCAUAAGAACAAAGUAAUGCAUUAAGAACGAUGACAUGAUGUAGUGAACACAAAAGCAUAUAAGAAUUCAUUCCAACUUGUUAUCCUUAAUGGCAACAACACAUGUGUAUCAACUCCCCUUCUGUCACUAGGACUAAACAUCGCAAGGUCGAACCCAUUACCGAGGACCUAUUCCCAUUGCAAGAAGAUCUAAUCUAGUUGGACAAACCAAACCAAAACUUCCAAGAAGAAAUAUUUGGCUAUACUAAAUCAUGCAUAAAGGAGAUCAGCAAAGAACUCAAAUAAAACAAGGAUAGAUCUGAUCAUAAACUAACAAUUCAUCGGAUCCCAAUAAACACACCACACAAAGUCAUUACAUCGAAUGGAUAUCCAAGAAGAUCAUGGAGAGCGUUGUAUUGAGAUACAAAGAGAGAGAUAGAGAGAGCCAUUUAGAUUCUACCUACGGACCAGUAGGUCCGUGGUGAACAACUUACGCAUCAUCGUAGAGGCGGCAAGGUUGAUGUAGAGCCCCUCUGUGAUGAGUUCCCCCUCUGAUGGAGUACCGGAAAAGGCCUCCAGAUGGGAUCUGGCGAGAGCGAAGGCUUGUGGUGACGGAAAAGUAUUUUGUGGACUUCCUUGAGGGGUUUAGAAUAUUGCUGAAUUUAUAGUGGAGGAGGUAGGGCAAAUGGAGCGUGGAGGGGCCCACACAACAUCAGGGCGCCCCCCCCCCUUGAGUGUGCAAGUUCUAGUUGUGUGGGGGCCUCUGGCAAGAUCUUCCUUGGGGUCCAAGUUCUAGGGUAUCCUUAUCUUCAAUAUAAAAUCCGUAAAAAGUUUUGAGACGAUUUGAUCUUAUGUGAUAUUGAUUUCCUGCGAAACAAAAACAUGGCAGAAAACAGGAACUAGCACUUGACACUACGUUAAUAUGUUAGUCCCCAAAAAUGAUAUAAAAAGGUAUAAAAUGAUAAUAAAACAUCCAAGAAUAAUAAUAGCAUACCAUGGAACAAGAAAAAAUAAUUGAUACGUUGCAGACAUAUCAAGCAUGCCCAAGCUUAACUCCUUCUCGUCCUCGAGUAGGAAAGUGAUAAAACAUAUUUUUGAUUGUGGAAUGCUACCCAACAUAAUUCAAGUUUAUUUUUAUAGCAUAGACAUGAGGACUUAGAUGAUUCAAAGAAAUAGUCUAUAUUUGACAUGAAGACGUAGAUACUCAAGUGAUGCUAACAAGCAGCCAUGACUUUCAAAAUAACAAUGCUAAAGUAAAUUAUCCCUAGCCCAUUAUGCUGAAUCAUUGAUCCAUUCAUGAUGCACACUCGAAUAUAAAUCAUAAUCCAUGCACACACAUACCACAUGACCCCCUAGUUGGUCCUUUUAAAGAGAAGGACGGGACUCAACAUAAAAAGUUAAAUAGAAAGGCCCUUCGCAAAGGGAAGCAUUGAUUUACAAAGGUCCGAGAGCUCAAGUUUUAAAAGAGAUGAAAAAAUAAUUUGGGUGGCAUGUUUUUCUCGUUCAUGAGAACGACUUAAGGUUCCCAACACUUCUCACAUUGGAUACAUCAUAGGAGGUUCCCAAAUAGAAAGCAAAUAUUUUUUGUAUCUCUAUUCCCUCAUCACCGUUUCAGUGUCAUCAAGACUUUGGUCUUUCUACUCUCACAUCCAAGAGAAUAUAUUUUUUCCACCAUUACUUUUCACAAUCCAUGGCUAACCAAAUUCAUGGGUGGCUUCCAUACCAUCACAUUCCAUUUAUUUUUGGGACUGGGCACCCCUUUUACCGCCACACUCUCGUGCAAUGACAAGUGAAUAAACACUCAUCAUGAGAAUGACAUAUCCAACACAAAAAUAUAGGCCACCCCUCACCGCUUCAUGAGAAAUAUGGGCAUACAAAAUAUAAAAUAUUUUUAGAUUGUUUUUAGAGAUGGCACAUGCAAUUUUACUUGGAACGACACUCAAAUACCACAUAUAGGUAGGUAUGGAGGACACAAGCGGCAAAACAAGGGAUAAUGGAUGCACAAGCAGUAUUCCCGCAAACAUAAAAUGAAGGCUAGCAAAAAGAUUGAGAAGCGCCCAACUAGAAAAUCAUAAUGAUGAACAUGACAAACAUAAAACAUAACUAACAUCGAACAAUACACCACAAGUAGGAUAUAACUUCAUUGCAUAACUAUUGACUUUUUGUUGCUUGCAUAGGGAAUCAUAAACCUUAACAUCAAUAUUCAUACUAGAGCAUAACUGACUCACUAACAUAACUCACAUAUCAUCAUCUACAUAUCUCAAAACUAUUACAAAGAAUCAAGUUUUUCAUGUCCCAUAAAAAUUUUGUUUGCUAGUUUUCAUUAUUCUACUUGAAUAUUCAUCACAAAGGGACCAAGCAUCAUAUCUUGUAUCAAUUACCAAGACUAUUUUCACACUCUCAAAAUGAUAUAAGUGAAGCAAGAGAUUGAAUUUCUUCAAAAUUUUCUAACAUUCUCAAAAAGAUAUAAGUGAAGCAUGAGAACGAGUUUCUUCAAAACAUUCGCACCACCGUGCUCAAAAAGAUAUAAGUGAAACACUAGAGAAACCACCUAGCUUAACAAAUUUAAGUGAAGCACAAGAAGCAAUUCUAACAAAUUGUGAUGACGUGAGGCCAUCUCAAGAAAAUGUGUUCAAAGGUGAUGAUUGUGAAAAACUAAUAAGCAAAGACUCAUAUCAUACAAGACGCUCCAAGCAAAACACAUAUCAUGUGACGAAUAAAAAUAUAGCCUCAAGUGUGUUACGAUAGUCGUUAGAAGAAAGAGGUGAUGCCUUCUCGGGCAUCCCCAAGCUUAGACGCUUGAGUCUCCUUAGAUAUUACCUUGCGGUACCUUGGGCAUACCCAAGAUUUGGCUUUUGCAUAUCUUCAUUCCUUCAUCCAUCGAUGUCACACCCAAAACUUGAAAACUUCAAUCACACAAAACUCAACAAAACCUUCGUGAGAUCCGCUAGUAUAACCAAGCAAAUUACUACUAUAAGUACUAGUGCAAACCCAUUCAAAUUUUAUAAUUGCAUUAUAGGUACUAUAUUCUAACUUUCGCAUGGCUUGCACCCCCCGAUACAAUCCAUAGAUUCAUCAAAAUAAGCAAACAAUGCAACAAAAACAGAAUCUCUCAAAAACCGAACAGUCUGUAGCAAUCUGUCGAAAAGUCAUACUACUGAAACUCCAAAACUUCCGAAAAAUGAGGACAACGUGGACAACUGGGCGUCAAAGUUUCUGUUUUUCACAUAAUUGCAUUCACAAGCAUCCAUAUCAUCCCAAACGUUUUACUUGUCACAAACACUAAUUAAAAUAUAUAAAACCAACUCAAAAGAGAAGCAAAUAAAAGAAAAUAAAAAGAACAGAAACAAAAACUAAAAAUUUAUUUUAUUCGUUGGGUUUCCUCCCAACAAGCGUUAUCGUUUUACGCCCUUAGCUAGGCAUAAAGCAAUACGUCAAGUAUUGUCAUCCUUAGAUUUUACUCCAUAGGUAGCCGUCAUAAUGGAUUCAUAGGGCAGUUUAAACUUGGUCCUUGGGAAGUGUUCCAUGCCUUUUUCAAAGGAAACUGAAACUUUAUAUUUCCCUCUUUCAUAUCAAUCACUGCAGGAUGGUGCAUAAAACUGGUCUACCAAGAAUCAAAGGGCAAGACAAAUUGCAAUCGAUGUCAAAAACAAUAAAGUCCACGGAUACAUAGUUCCUAUUUGGAAAACAAGAACAUCAUUGUUCCUUCCCAAUGGCUUUUUAAUAGUGGAAUCCGCCAAAUGCAAAUUAAAAGAACACUCAUCCAAUUUGGAAAAAUCAAGAACAUCACAAAGAGACUUCAGAAUAGUAGAAAUACUUGCACCCAAAUCACACAAAGCAUUGCACUCGAAAAAUUUAGUCUUAAGUUUAAUAAUAGAUUCCCACUCAUCAUAUAAUUUUCUAGGAAUAGAAAUCUCCAACUCAAGUUUUUCUUACAAAGUUUUCAUUAAGGCAUCCACGAUAUGUUUAGUAAAAGCCUUUGUUCAUAAGCAUUUGGUGAGUUCAACAUAGACUACAACACAGAAAUACAUUCAACCAAAGAGGAACUAUCAUAAUUAAAGUCCUUGUAAUCCAUAAUAGUGGGUGCAUCACUAGCUAAAGUUUUAACCUCUCCAAACCCACUUUUAACAAUUAUUGCAUCAAGAUUCUCACCCUCCGAAUCAUGGAGAUGCCCUCUAUCUAAAGUUGACUCUUCUUGCGUAUCCUAAACAAAGAAUCACUAUAGGACACACCAAUCAUCUUAACAUGCUUGUCUAUUUUGCUACGAAAAUUUGUAAGAGAGAUUUUUUCAAGCAAUUCCCGCUUAGUGUUUAACAUCGCAGUUCUCUUCUUACUUUUAUCAAUAGAAACAUACAUAGCCUUAAUAGAUUCAUUAAUAUCAACUCUAGGAGGCAAUGAUUUUGCUUAAGAUUUUCAAAAUCAAGAGAAAGCCUAUCAACACUCUUAGUCAAAUCAUCAAUCAUAUUCAACUUUUCUUCCAUAGAAGUGUUGAAAGCCUUUUGAGCAUUGAUAAAUUCCUUAAUACUAUUAUCAAAAUUAGAGGGCAUCCUUUGGUUAUUAUGGGAAGAAUUACCAUAAGGAUUGCCACAAACAUUGGAGGAAUUUCCAGGAUAAGGCCUAGGAUUAAAAUUUCCUCCAUAAGCAUUAUUAUUGAAGUUUCUAUGAGAGAAAAAAUGCACAUCAAUAGGAUCACUAUUUUGUUCAAUCAAAAUAGACAAAGGCAAAUCAUUGGGAUACAAUAGAAACUAUUACUUAACUAAGAAACGUAAUUUACAACAAGAGACAUACUAAGUUUUUCACUUACUAACGACGUACUAAUCCUCCUACAACGACUANNNNNNNNNNNNNNNNNNNNNNNNNNNNNNNNNNNNNNNNNNNNNNNNNNNNNNNNNNNNNNNNNNNNNNNNNNNNNNNNNNNNNNNNNNNNNNNNNNNNAGUACCACUAAAGAAUWAGGCGUUUAAGAUUUUAAUUAGKAUGCUCUCGUAGGAAUAAGAGUUUUAGUAACAAAAGAAGAGAGCAUCAGGAAGCAAAUACCAAACACAUUUAAGUAUAACAUGCUUCCUAUGCAUAGGAAUAUUGCAAUAGAAUAUUUCAUUGAAGCACAAAGCAAUAAGCAUAGGAAGGCAAAGCAAGUGCAGCUUCAAAACCUUCAACAUAAAGAGAGGAAACUUGAUAUUAUUGAAAUAUCUAUAAGCAUAUGUUCCCUUCUCAUAAUAAUUUUCAGUGGGAUCAUGAAUAAACUCAACAAUAUAAGUAUAACAUAAAGCAUUGUUACCAUGAUCCAUAUGCAAAAAGGUACUCUUACUCUCCACAUAAGCAUAAUCUUUCUCAUUGGUAAUAGUGGGAGUAGGACUAUCAUAAACAACCUGAACACUAUAGAUUAAUUGUGUAUUAGGGAGAUGGUGUUCAGCAAGAGAGUAAUCCCCUCCAUGAUUAUGACAAGUUUCAUAAGGAUAAUUUCUCCUUAUGUCAUAGGUAUCUUUACAAUCACUAUUGAUAGGAGUUAUAACAUCAUCAUGGUAGAGAAGAGCACUAUUAUUGGUAUAACAAUUAUAUUUGUAAACAUUUUGUCUCUAUUCUUACUAGAAAAAGAAUUAGCAAUAAUCACAUCACUAAUAGGUAAAGGACUUGCAAUCCUAUCAUCCCCAAGCUUAGAGCUUUCCAUAUCAUCAUUUUCAAAGUUGGUCCCAAAAAGAUUUUCAAGAUCAUAAGUAGCAUUAUCAUCAUCUUCCCAAUCACAAUAAGUAACAUGCAUAUCAUAAUCAAAAUCAUCUUCAAUAGUACCUACGGACUUAUCAUCAAGAUAAUAACAAUCAAGCUCACCAUCCUCCAUAAUUUUUUGUAUGUUAGGAUAAAAGUUGAUGCGAGAAAUAUGCUCAGGCCAGGUUGAUACCCAUUCUUCUUCCUUCUUGUUCCUCUUCCUCCUCUUCUUUUCUUCUUCUUCACCUUAGGAGAGAGUGCAUGGAGAGGAAGCUUCUCCAAAUAUUCUGGUUUAUCAUUAGAAANNNNNNNNNNNNNNNNNNNNNNNNNNNNNNNNNNNNNNNNNNNNNNNNNNNNNNNNNNNNNNNNNNNNNNNNNNNNNNNNNNNNNNNNNNNNNNNNNNNNGAGGGAGGAAAGGAAAGUAGGGUGGAGUAUCGGUAAGUAGUAGAUCAAGGGGGUUUAAGGUUUAGGUCGUUUGUUUGUCUCUGUGCAAAGGUAGGAUCAUCACUGGCGUAGUCGUACCCACGCAGCAGCGUCAAUCUCGGUUUCUACCAGAGAAAAGAAGGGGGAAGGAAACGAAUAAAUACAAGCAAGCAGAUGCAUAACGAUGCAAGACAUGGCAAUAUGAAGUCCUAGGGAUGAGCUAACGCAGUACUACACAUCAUGGACAGAGCAGGGAAAUAUCCGAACACAUCUCUCGGGUCUCUGGCUACUACCGGAUAGAUGAUCCUAAUGCCAAAAUGUCCAUGUUCAUCAUGCUAGGACCAUGUGACACAUGAACGGACAACGUAUUCAGAUUUGUGGGAUUUUUCUCAGCCUUCCAUGUAUUUAAUUUUUUCAUCCGAGUUACAGAUUAUUUUAUAUGAAUUUAUAAAUAUUUAACCAUUUCUCAUUUUUUUAUUCAUUAAUAUGAAUUAUCCAAAAUAAUAAUGCUAUGUGCACCCAGAGUUGUACCCAGCCAGAAUACACAAGGGCUGACUCGUGGGCUGUGUUGACUCGGUCAACUCCCAGUCCCCAUCGGCUAACUGGUGGGUCAGCUGCCUCGUCAGUAGACUGAUGGGUGAGCCUGAUCUGGUGGAAUAGUGGGUCGGGCCCCACUUGUGAGUGUUAGUAUAUAAUUAGGGGUUAGUUUAAUUAGGAGGGUAUAAUUAGUGGAUGAGGCCCCUUGUGAGCGUUAGGUCAGUUUAAUUUUAAACGUUAAUUAACCCUAACAUAAUUAACUCACAGUCCGGGCCCAUGGGAGAGUGACCUAGGUCGUGGUGGCCGGCGCCGCCGACCACAGGAAGCAGCGGAUGGAUGCUUGUGACGCCCCCGACAACAAUUUGGAUGGCCGCUGGGUCCGACGUGUUGCGGGUAGCGCGGCGGAUCCAUUCCAGCUAGCGGCGCUAACAGGGGAUGGCCGGAGCAAGCGCAUCGUCGACCAAGGCGACGGUGUACGAAUGGCAGUGGCGGUGGUGGUAGAGGGGAAGUGAGAGCUAGCACGGGGCCACGAGCUAGCGCAACAGAGGACUGGCGCAGAUGCAGGACUAGCACGCGGUCGGGCGUCGCAGUGGGGCAACCGAGCGCAGCACGAGCUCCGGUGAGCUACGGGCGGCAGCGGUCGCGUGCGGGAACUGGGAUAGAAGAAGGGAGUGGAGGUCAGGACCUCACUUGCGGUGCAAGGAGGCGGGGGCAGCGAGGCACGUGGAAGACAAUGGGGAGGAGGAUGGGGACGGAGGUCCAGCAACGAUGACAGAGCGGCGAUGGCGAUGGUUCGACUGCGGCGACUAAUGUGAAAUGCUACCUAGCAUAAUCUUGAUCAUAUAUCUAAGAAUGGCAUGAAUAUUAAGAUACACGUGAUUCAAGGAAAUAGUCUAUCAUUUGAUAAAAAUACAUCCAUACUCAGGUUUACUAGCAAACAAUCAUGUCCUUUCAAAAUAACAAUGCUAAAGAAAGCUAUCCCUACAAAAUCAUAUAACUUGUCAUGCUUGGUCUUUCUAGCAUAAGAUAUGAAUCUUGAGCACCCCGGUGUCAAACGAAGCAAUUGGAUCAUACUUUUUAACGCGCUUCAGUUUUUUAUUACUCACUCAAGACAUGAGCCUGAACCAUGGAUAUAACAUAAAGGUGGAAUAGAAUAUGGUGGUAGGUUUCAAAGGGGUCAAAGUGAAGAAGAAAGCCUCGCAUCAAGUCGGUGUAUCAGCGGGCUAUGGAUAUGCCCAUCAAUAGAUAUCAAUGCGAGGAGUAGGGAUUUCCAUUCAACGGAUGCACUAAGAGCUAUAAGUGUAUGAAAUCUCAAUAUGAAAACUAAGGGGGUGUGCAUCAAACUCUAUAAUGAAAAAUUACCACUAGUAUAUGAAAGUGACAACAUAGGAGACUCUCCAUAUGAAAAACAUGGUGCUACUUUGAAGCACAAGUGUGGAAUUAGCCUACCACUUCUCUAUUUCUCUUCUUUUUUUCUUUCUUUCUCUUUUUCCCUUUUUCUUUUUUCCUUUUUUUGUAGUGGGCUCAAUUGGCCUCUCCUAUUUUUCAUUUUUUGUACGGAGUCUCAUCCUGACUUGUGGGGGAAUCAUAGUCUCCUUCACCCUUUCCUCACUGGGACAAUGCUUUAAUAAUGAAUAAUGAUGAUCAUCACACUUCUAUUUACUUACAACACAAUAUUACAACUCGAUACCUAGAACAAAGUAUGACUCUAUAUGAAUGCCUCUGGCGGUGUACCAGGAUGUGCAAUGAUCUAGCCUAGCAUGGACAUAAAAAAUGGACAAGCCAUGGAAAUAUCAUCUAUCUUAUGAUCAUGCAAAUAAAUAUAGCAAUGAAUGCUGAACUCAUCAAAAUGGAAGCAGUGGAAGUUGCAUGGAAAUAUAUCUCGGAAUGGCUAUGGAAAGGCCAUAAUAGGUAGGCAUGGUGGCUGUUUUGAGGAAGAUAUAAUAAGGCUUAUGUGUGAUAGAGUGUAUCAUAUCAUGGGGUUUGGAUGCACCUACGAAGUUUCACCGACUCUCGAGGUGAGAAAGGGCAAUGCAUGGUACCAUAGAGGCUAGAAAAUUGCGGAAAGGUAAGAGUGCGUAUAUCCAAGGAUUCAAAUUAGUCACGAAGAACUCACAUACUUAUUGCAAGAUUUAUUAGAUCUCUCGAAGCAAAGCACUACUCGCAUGCCCCUAGGGAGAAGGUUGGGAGGAGUUAACCAUCGUGCGACUCCUAUUAUAACAGCACAAAGGAUUUCAUUUAAGGAUAAAUUAUGCUCCAUCUUCAUCACAUAACUAGAGACUAUACGUGCAUGCUUCGGGAAUCACAAACCUUAACAUCAAUAUUCUUACUAAUCCAUAACCAUCAACUAUUUCACCCAUAUAUUACUAUAUUAAUGUCGCAAAACUAUUGCACGGAUUCAAACAAAUUAUACUUAGUGAUCUACAAGUUUUAUGUAGGAUUUUAUGGCUAACCAUGUAAAUGACCAAUUCCUUCUGACUCUCUAAAUAGAUAUAAGUGAAGCAUGAGAAUUUAAUUUUUUGUACAAAAGACCAUGCUCUAAUAAAUAUAAGUGAAGCAGAAGAGCAUUCUAUAAAUAAUGGUUUUUGAUAUGUAGAGAAACACACAACCCAAACUUCAAUUGAUAUAAAUGAAGCACAUGAAGUAUUCUGUAAAGCCAUACUCGAAAUAUAUAAGUGAAGUUCAAUGAGCAUUCUAUAAAUCAACCAUGGACUAUCUCAUUCCAGCAUGGUGCAUAAAAGAAAAGUGAAAACAAAACACAAAAGAUGCUCCAAGAUUUACGCAUAUCACGUGAACGAAACAAAGACGAAAACAUACCGAUACUUGUUGAAGAAAGAUCGGAUGCCUUCCGGGGUAUACCCAAGCUUAGAUGCUUGAGUCUCCUUGGAUAUUUACUUCGGGUGCCUUAGGCAUCCCCAAGCUUGAACUCUUGCCUCUCCUCCAUCUUUUCAUAUCGAGACCUCCUCGAACUUAGAACACUUCAUCCACACAAAACCUAACAGAAAACUAUGAGAUCUGUUAGUAUAAUAAUGCAAAUUACUAUCUUACGUACUGUUGCAAACCCAUUCAUAUUUUGUUUUUUCAUUAUAGCUAUUGUAAUGUAACUUCUUGUCGUGGUAUUUCCAGGACAGAUGCCAUGGGGUGGCAGAUACGUUUGAGAUGUAUCAAGCAUCCCCAAGCUUAACUCCUGCUCGUCCUCGAGUAGGGAAGUGAUAAAGAAUGAAUUUUUAUGCUUACAUGCUACCUAGCAUAGAUGUCCUUUGUAGCUCCUCUUAUGUGACGUGAAUGUUCAGAUCCAUUAGAUUCAAAACAAUAGUUUGCUAUUGAUGUGGAGACAAUAAUACUUCAAGCAAACUAGCAAGGUAAUCAUGAACUUUCAAAAUAACGAGGCCAAAAGAAAGUUAUCCCUACAAAAUCAUAUAGUCUGGCUAUGCUCUAUCAUCCUUGCACAACGAAUUUAAAUCAUGCACAACCCCGGUAUUGGCCAAGUAAUUGUUUUCACACCUUUACUUUCUCAAACUUUUUCAACUCUCACGCAAUACAUGAGCGUGAGCCAUGGUUUUAGAAUUAUAAGUGGUGUGGAGUGUGGUGGAGGUUGCAAGACAAACAAGGAGAAGAUGGUCACAUUGGCUAGGCAUAUCAAUGAGCUAUGGAGAUGCUCAUCAAUAGAUAUCAACGUGAAUGAGUAGGGAUUGACAUACAAUUGAUGCACUAGAGCUAAGAGUAUGUGAAAGCUCUUAAACAAAACUAGUGGGUGUGCAUCCAACUUGCUUGCUCACGAAGACCUAAGGCAAUUUUGAGGAAGCCUAUCAUUGGAAUACACAAGCCAAGUUAUAUAAUGAAAAUUUCCCACUAGCUAUAUGGUGGUGACAAAACGAGAGAAUCUCAACCAUGAAGAUCAUGGUGCUUAAUAUGCACAAGUGUGGAAAGGUAGUAGCAUUGUCCCUUCUCUCUUUUCCUCUCAUUUUUUGGUGGGCUCUUUGGCCUCUUUUUUUUGGUGGGCAUCUUUGGCCUCUUUUAUUUCCUCACAUGGGACAAUGCUCCAUCAAUGAUGAUCAUCACACUUACAACUCAAAACUUAGAGCAAUGAUGACUCUAUAUGGAAUGCCUUCGGUAGUGUACCGUGACAAUGAUCUAGCAAGACAUAGACAUUAAUGGAAACAUCAUGCUAGCUAUCUUAUGAUCAUGCAAUGGCAAUGUAGAAGUGGUGGCACAUGUCAUGGUGGUAGUUGUAUGCCAAUAUAUCUCGGAAUAGCUUUGAAAAAGCCAUAGUAGGUAGGUAUGGUGGCUAUUUUGAGGGAGGCUAUAUGGUGGGUUUUGUGCACCGGCAAAAGUUGCACGACACUAAAGAAGAUAGUGAUGGUGGAAUGUGAAAGUGCAUCUAAACCAUGGACUCAACAUUAGUCAUGAAGAACUCAUAUACUUGUUGCAAAAGUUUUAGUAGUAAUCGAAACAAAGCAUUCAACGGAUACUCCUAGGGGAAGGGUUGGUAGGUAUAAACCAUCGCGCGAUCCCGACCGCCACACAAAGGAUGACAAUCAAUAUACUAAUCAGGCUCAGACUUCAUCACAUAGCGGUUCACCAUACGUGCAUGCUACGGGAAUCACUAACUUCAACACAAGUAUUUCUAGAUCCACAACACCUUACUAUUCUAACUUCAAUAUUACCACAACCACAACUCAAAACUAAUUGAGAUGAAUCAAACUUCUCUAACUAUUCAAUGCACAUGAAGGUGGAAGUUUUCAUAUCCCUUUGGAUAACUACCCCUUUUGAGACUACUUUCAUAGCAUAGAUCAACUACCAAGCCACGCGCUUCCAUGCUCUCAAAGAUAUAAGUGAAGCACAUAGAGCAAAAUCAACUAGCUCAAAAGUAUAAGUGAAGCACAUCUGAGCUGAAUUGUCUAACCAAAGGAUAUAAGUGAAGCUCGACAAAAUCACGGUGAGUGCAUGUCUCUCUCUCUAGGUGUGCAGCAAGGAAGAUUGUGACACAAAAAUAAAAGACUCCUACGAUACAAGACGCUCCAAGCAAAACACAUAACAUGUGGUGAAUAAAAAUAUAGCCCCAAGUAACGUUACCGAUGGAUUGAAGACGAAAGAGGGAAUGCCUUCCCGGGGCAUCCCCAAGCUUAGGCUUUUACGGCAUCCUUGAAUCAACUGGGGGUGCCUGGGGCAUCCCCAAGCUUGAGCUCUUUCCACUCUUUAUAUUUUUGUCCAUAAAACUUCACCCAAAACUUGAAAACUUCACAACACGAAACUUAAACAGAAACUCGUGAUAACAUUAGUAUAAGAAACCAAACCACCACUUCCUUAGGUACUGUAGAAAACUUAAAUUCUACUUAUCUUGAUGUUGGGUUACUGUAUUUUCAAUCUUCCAUGGCUAAUACCCCCGGAUACUAUCCAUAGUUUCAUCGAAAUAAGCAACCAACUCAACAAAAACAGAAUCAUAACGGUUUUGCUUGGCACAAACGCAAAAGAAACACAAAAAACACAAUCAUAACAGAAUUAUGAAAGUGUGGAAAACACAAAAUAGAAAGAAAAAGGAUAGAUUCGUUGGGUUGCCUCCCAACAAGCGCUAUUGUUUAAGGCCCUUAGCUAGGCAAAAGGUGAUGGAAUCACGUAUAGUCAUCUUUGGUGCUCAAACCAUAAGUAGCCCUCAUCAUAGAUUCAUAAGGCAAUCUUAUUUUCUUUCUAGGAAAAUGCUCCAUGCCCUUCUUUAGGGGAAAUUGAAAUUCCCUUCCUUCAUAUCGAUGAUAACACCAAUAGUCCUUAGGAAAGGUCUACCAAGAAUAAUGGGACAUGAAGGAUUGCAAUCUAUGUCAAGUACAAUGAAAUCCACGGGUACAUAGUUCUUAUUUGCAACAAUAAGAACAUCAUCGAUCCUUCCCAUGGGUUUCUUGACAGUAGAAUCCGCAAGAUGCAAAUUAAGAGAACACUCUUCAAUCUCAUGAAAACCAAGAAUGUCACAUAAAGACUUUGGAAUCGCGGAAAAACUAGCACCCAAAUCACACAAAGCAUUGCAUUCAUAGUUUUUGAUCUUGAUUUUGAUAGUAGGUUCCCACUCAUCAUGAAGUUUUCUAGGUAUAGAGACUUCUAAUUCGAGUUUCUCUUCAAGCGAUUUCAUCAUAGCAUCUACGAUAUGUGUGGUAAAGGCUUUGCUUUGGCUAUAAGCAUGUGGAGAGUUUGCAAUGGAUUGCAUCAAAGAAAUGCAUUCGAACAAGGAGCAACUAUCAUAAUUGAAUUCCUUGAAAUCCAAAGUGGGAGUUUCAUUACUACCCAAUAUUUUGAUUUCUUCUACUCCACUCUCCACACCUUUAUCAUCAAGAUAGGUGGACUCCGAAUCAUUGGGGCAUUUUUCAACCAAAGUGGAUUCAUAUCCAGCCCCUUCAUCAAUAGGUUUGACACGCGAAAACAAAGAGUCAAGAGGAGUCACACCAAGCACUUUAAGAUCUUCGUGAUUUGCAUCACUAGAACGCACCCUUUUAAACCAUUCAUGCCUAGCGCGAAUUUGGGCUAGUUCUUUCUUUGCUCUCAUUCAUGGAGACACGCAUAGCUUUUAAAGUUUCAUCCAAGUUGACCUCGGGAGGAGCACAUCUAACUUUCAAAGCAUCAAUAUCACAAGACAUCCUAUCAACGCUCUUAGCCAAAUCUUCUAUUUUGAGUAGUUUUUCUCUAUGGACGCAUUGAAAAUCUUUUGAGAGUUGAUGAACUCUUUGAUAUUACUCUCUAAAUCAGAGGGUAAUUUGUUAUGAUUUCCAUAAGUGUUGUUGUAGGAAUUGCCAUAAUUUUUAGAGGAGUUACUAGGAAAAGGCCUCGGAACAUAGUUUCCUCUAAAAGCAUUGUUGUUGCCAAAAUUGUUCCUACCAACAAAAUUAACGUCCAAACUAGAGUUGCUACUCUCAAUCAAGGAAGAUAGUGGCAUGUCAUUAGGAUCUAAAGGAGCAUUUCUACUAGCAACCAAAUUCAUCAACUCGUCCAUCUUAGCACUAAGCGAGUUAAUUUCUUCUAUAGUGUGUACAUUUUUGCUAGCAGGUGACCUUUCAGUGUGCUACUGAGAGUAGUUGGUCAUGAUAUUGUCUAGGAGUUUUGUAGCAUCUCCUAACGUGAUUUCUAUGAACGUUCCACCUGAGGCGGAGUCCAAGAUAUUGCGAGAAGCAAAAUUCAAACCAGCGUAAAAGAUUUGUAUAAUCAUCCACAAACUCAAGCCAUGAGCAGGAAAAUUUCUAAUCAUUAACUUCAUCCUCUCCAAAGAUUGUGCAAUGUGUUCAUGAUCAAGUUGCUUUAAAUUCAUGAUAUCGUUACGUAGAGAGAUAAUCUUAGCCAGCGUAAAAUACUUGGAUAUGUAAGCAUCUUUGCACUUAUCCCAAGAAUCGAUACAAUUUUUCGGCAAAGAAGAAAACCAAGUUUUUGCGCGAUCUUGCAAGGAGAAAGGAAAAACUUCAGCUUAAUCACGUCAUUAUCCACAUCUCUUUUGUUUUGCAUAUCACAAAGUUUAAUGAAGGUAUUGAGAUGGGAUGCGUCAUCUUCACUAGGAAGGCCAGAGAAUUGCUCUUUCAUAACAAGAUUCAGCAAGGCAACAUUGAUUUCAUAAGAUUCCACACUAAUGGCGGGAGCAAUAGGAGUACUAAUAAAAUCAUUAUUAUUGGUACUCGAGAAGUCGCAAAGUUUGGUGUUUUCAGCCAUGAUGACUUCAACAAACAAACAAGAACACAAGCAAGCAAGAAAACUGGCAAAGGAAAACGGCAAAAGGCAAAAGAAAACAGCAAAGGAGAAAGGCAAAAAGGCAAAUGAAAAUGGCAAGGGAGAAAGGCAAAUGAAAACGGCAAAUGUGAAGUGGGGGAGAGGAAAACGAGAGGCAACUGGCAAAAAGGUAAAUGCAAAAGAUGAGUUUGUGACACCUACUCGGAUAGAUCUUGACUUGAUCUCUCCUCCCCGGCAACGGCGCCAAAAAUCCUUCUGCUACUGCGACAACAGACCUUCCCUGGCAACGGCGCCAGGAAUCCUGCUGCUGCGGGCUAUGCCUAUAGUGACUUCCUUGGCAAAUAUGCAAAGGAUUUCCCCGCGGCCAUUUGAGCCUUGCGUUGGUGUUCCCUUGAAGAGGAAAGGGUAGGAUGUAGCACAGCGACGGUAAGUAUUUCCCUCAGUUUGAGAACCAAGGUAUCAAUCCAGAAGGAGGAGCGUUCAAGUCACAAGUACAUGCACAAACACAAAGAGCUUGCACCCAACGCUAUGAAGGGGUUGUCAAUCCCUUAUAGAUUGUUUGCAAAGUGAGAACUGAAAGCAAAACGUAAACAAAGUAAAGUAAAAGUGAAAGUGGAGACAAUAGUUGUGAAUAGACCCGGGGCCCGUAGUGUUCACUAGUGGCAUCUCUCAUGAAAGCAAGUAGACGGUGGGUGAACGAAUUACUGUCGAGCAAUUGAUAGAACCGCGCAAAGUCGUGACGUUAUAUAUGGCAAUGAUUAUAUCUAUAGGCAUCACGUCCAAAACAAGUAGACCGAUUCUUUCUACAUCUACUACUAUUACUCCACACGUCGACCGCCAUCCAACAUGCAUCUAGUGUAUUAAGUUCAAAAGAACAGAGUAACGCCUUCAGCAAGAUGACAUGAUGUAGAUGGACAAUCUCAUAUCUAUGAUGAAAGCCCAUAUUGUUACCCUUGAUGGCACACCUAUCCCCUGUGUGCCUUGCUGCCCCUUCUUUCACUCGGAAAGGUCACCACACGGUAUGAACCCAAAACCAAGCACUUCUCCCAUUGCAAGAAUCGUAGGUCUAGUUGGCCAAACAAAACCCAAGACUCCGAGAGACUUACAAGGAUAUCAAAUCAUGCAUAUAAGAAAUCAGCAAAGACUCAAAUAUAAUUCAUAGAUAAUCUGAUCACAAAUCCACAAUUCAUCGGAUCUCGACAAACACACCGCCAAAGAGGAUUACAUCGGAUAGAUCUCCAUGAAGAUCAUCGAGAACUUUGUAUUGAAGAUCCAAGCGAGAGAAGAAGCCAUCUAGCUACUAACUACGGACCCGUAUGUCUGAAGUGGACUACUGACGAGUCAUUGGAGAGGCGAUGAUGUUGAUGUAGAAGCCCUCCAACUCCAAAGUCCCCUCCGGCAGGGCACCGGGAAGGGUCUCCAAAUGAGAUCUCGCGGAAACGGAAGCUUGCGGCGGCGGAAAAUUGUUUCCGUGGAUGCCCUCAUUUUUCUGUGAUUUUAGGGAAUUUAUAGGCCAAAGAGCUAGGGCAGGGGAGCGCCAGGGAGGCCACAAGCUUGGUUGCCGCGGGCCGCCCCCGGCCGCGGCAACAGGGCUUGGUGGGCCUCCCUGGUCGGUCCCCCUGCCUUCGGCCCUUCAACGUCCUCCGAUUCNNNNNNNNNNNNNNNNNNNNNNNNNNNNNNNNNNNNNNNNNNNNNNNNNNNNNNNNNNNNNNNNNNNNNNNNNNNNNNNNNNNNNNNNNNNNNNNNNNNNGUCUCCCACUUGCACUAGAGUCAAUAAUCUAGUUCACAUCACUAUGUGAUUCCAACGAAUCCAACACCCAUAUAGUUCUGGGAUCUGAUCACGUCUUGCUCGUGAGAGAGGUUUUAGUCAACGGUUCUGAAACUUUCAGAUCCGUGUGUUAUUUACAAAUCUUUAUGUCAUCUUAUAGAUGCUGCUACUACGUGCUAUUCGGAAAUACUCCAAAUAUCUACUCUACUAUAUGAAUCCGUUUCACUACUCAUAGUUAUUCGGAUUAGUGUCAAAGCUUGCACUGACGUAACCCUUUACGAUGAACUCUUUAGCACCUCCAUAAUCGAGAAAAAUUCCUUAGUCCAUUAGUUACUAAGGAUAACUUUGACCGUUGUUCAGUGAUUCAAUCCUGGAUCACUCUCUGUACCUCUUAACAGACUUGUGGCAAGGCACACAUCAGGUGCGGUACACAGCAUGGCAUACUGUAGAGUCUACGGCUAAGGCAUAGGGGACAACCUUCGUCCUUUCUCUUUCUACUGCCGUUGUCGAUCUUUCGAGUCUUACUCAUAUUCACACCUUACAACACAGCCAAGAACUCUUUUUUUGUUUGAUCUAUUUCGAACUCCUUCAAGAACUUGUCAAGGCAUGCAUUUCAUUUGAAAGUUAUGUCUAGCAUUUUGAUCUAUCUCCAUAGAUCUUGAUGAUCAAUGUUCAAGUAGCUCUAUCCAGGUCUUCCUUUGAAAACUCCUUUCAAACAACCUUUUAUGCUUCACAUAAAUUCUAUACUUUUGAUCAACAAUAUGUCUACCACAUAUACUUUAUCAGAAAUACUAUAGUGGUCCCACUCACUUCUUUGGAAAUACAAGUUUCUCAUAAACCUUGUACAAACCCAAAAGCUUUGAUCAUCUCAUCAAAGCGUAUAUUCCAACUCCUAGAUGCUUGCACCAGUCCAUAAAGGAUAGCUGGAGCUUUGCAUACUUGUUAGUAUCUUUAGGAUCGACAAAACCUUCUGGUUGUAUCACAUACAAUCUUUCCUCAAGGAAAUCGUCGAGGAAACUAUGUUUUGACAUUCUAUGUGCAAUAUUUCAUAAAUAAUGCAGCAACUACUAACAUAAUUCUAACAAACUUUUAGCAUCGCUACGAGUGAGAAAGUCUCAUCAUAGUCAACUCUUUGAUCUUGUCGAAAACAUCUUUGCGACAAGUCGUGCUUUUCUUAAUAGUGACUUAUCACCAUCAUCGUAUGUCUUCCUUUUAAAAAUCCAUCUUUACUCAAUAGUCCUACGACCAUCAGGUAGCUCUUCCAAAGUCUACACUUUGUUUUCAUACAUGGAUCCUCUCUCGGAUUUCAUGGCUUCCAGCCAUUUAUCGGAAUCCGGGCCCACCAUUGCUUCUCCAUAACCCGUAGGUUCAUUGUUGCUCACCAACAUGACCUCCAAGACAGGGUUACAGUACCACUCUGUAGUAGUACGCGACCUUUGUCGACCUACGAGUUUUGUAGUAACUUGAUCUGAAGCUCUAAUGAUCACUAUCAUCAGCUUCCACUUCAAUUGGUGUAGGCGCCACAGGAACAACUUCCUGCGCCCUGCUACACACUGGUUGAAGUGACGGUUCAAUAACCUCAUCAAGUUCCACCACUCUCCCACUCAAUUCUUUCGAGAGAAACCUUUCCUCGAGAAAGGAUCCGUUUCUAGAAACAAACACUUUGCUUCCGGAUCUGAGAUAGGAGAUAUAUCCAACUGUUUUGGAUAUCCUAUGAAGAUGCAUUUAUCCAUUUUGGGUUCGAGCUUAUCAAACUGAAACCUUUUCACAUAAGCAUCGCAGCCCCAAACUUUCAAGAAACGACAGCUCAGGUUUCUCCAAACCAUAGUCUAUACUGUGUCAUCUCAACGGAAAUACAUGGUGCCCUAUGCAAAGUGAAUGCGGUUGUCUCUAAUGCAUAACCCAUAAACGAUAGUGGUAAUUCGAUAAGAGACAUCAUAGUAUGCACCAUACCAAAUAGGGCGUGGCUAUGACGUUCAGACACAUCAUCACACUAUGGUGUUCCAGGUGGCAUGAACUGCGAAACAAUUUCCACAUUGUCUUAACUGCGUACCAAAACGCGUAACUCAGAUAUUCAUCUCUAUGAUCAUAUCGUAGACUGUUUAUCCUCUUGUCACGACGAUCUUCACUCUAAAAUAGCUUUGAACUUUUCAAUAUUUUAGACUUGUGAUUCAUCAAGUAAAUACUCCUGUAUCUACUCAAAUCGUCAGUGAAGUAAGAACAUAACGAUAUCCACUACGUGCAUCAACACUCAUUGGACUGCACACAUCAAAAAUGUAUUAGUCCCAACAAGUUACUCUCUUGUUUCAUGUGGCAUGAUCUGCAUGUCUCAAGUGAUCCAAAAUCAAGUGAGUCCAAACGAUCCAUCCGCAUGGAGUUUCUUCAUGCGUUUUACACCAACAGGUAUGGUUUGCAUGUCUCAAACGUUUCAAAAAUGAGUGAGUACAAAGAUCCAUCAGCAUGGAGCUUCUUCAUGCAUUUUACACCAACAUGACUCAAGUGGCAGUGCCACAUCUAAGUGGUACUAUCAUUAUUACUUUGUAUCUUUUGGCACUAAUAUUAUGAACAUGUGUAACACUACGAUCGAGAUUCAAUAAACCAUUGAAGGUGAUUAUUCAAGCAAAUAGAGUAACCAUUAUUCUCUUUAAAUGAAUAAUUGUAUUGCAAUAAACAUGAUCCAAUCAUGUUCAUGCUUAACGCAAGCACCAAAUAACAAUUAUUUAGGUUUAACACCAAUCCCGAUGGUAGAGGGAGCGUGCGACGUUUGAUCAUAUCAACCUUGGAAACACUUCCAACACAUAUCGUCACCUCGCCUUUAGCUAGUCUCCGUUUUAUUCCGUAGCUUUCAUUUCGUGUUACUAAUCAGUUAGCAACCGAACCGGUAUCCAAUACCCUCGCGCCACUAGGAGUACUAGUAAAGUACACAUCAACAUCAUGUAUAUCAAAUAUACUUCUUUCGACUUUGCCAGCCUUCCUAUCUACCAAGCAUCUAGGGUAGCUCUGCCUCAGUGACCGUUCCCCUCAUAACAGAAGCACUUAGUCUCGGGUUUGGGUUUAAUAUUGGGUCUCUUCAUUAGUGCAGCAACUGUUUUACCGUUUCACGAAGUAUCCCUUCUCGCCCUUGCCUUUCUUGAAACUUAGUGGUUUCACUAACGAUCAACUAUUGAUGCUCCUUCUUGAUUUCUACCUUCGCAGUGUCAAACAUUGCGAAUUGCUCAAGGAUCAUUAUAUCUAUCCUUGAUAUGUUAUAGUUCAUCACGAAGCUCUCACAGCUUGGUGCCAGUGACUUUGGAGAACCAUCACUAUCUCAUCUGGAAGAUUAACUCCCACUUGAUUCAAGCGAUUGUCGUACUCACACAAUCUGAGCACACACUCAACGAUUGAGCUUUUCUCCUUUACUUCACGGACAAAGAAUCUUGUCGGAGGUCUCAUACCUCUUAACAAGGGCACAAGCAUGAAAUCACAAUUUCAUCUCUUUAGAACAUCUCUUAUGUUCCAUGACGUUUCAAAACGUCUUCGGCGCCUUGCUUCUAAGACAUUAAGUAUUUUGCACUGAACUAUCGUGUAGUCAUCAGAAAACGUGUAUGUCAGAUGUUCACAACAUCCACAGAUGAUGCUCGAGGUGCAGCACACCGAGUGGUGCAUUAAGGACAUAAGCCUUUUGUGCAGCAACGAGGACAAUCCUCGGUUUUACAGACUCGGUCCGCAAAGUUGCUACUAUCAACUUUCAACUAAAUUUUCUCUAGGAACAUAUAAAAAUAGUAGAGCUAUAGCGCAAGCUACAUCGUAAUUCGCAAAGACCAUUAGACUAUGUUCAUGAUAAUUAGUUCAAUUAAUCAUAUUACUUAAGAACUCCCACUCAAAAAGUGUAUCUCUCUAGUCAUUUGAGUGGUACACGAUCCAAAUCCACUAUCUCAAGUCCGAUCAUCACGUGAGUCGAGAAUAGUUUCAGUGGUAAGCAUCUCUAUGCUAAUCAUAUCAACUAUACGAUUCAUGCUCGACCUUUCGGUCUCAUGUGUUCCGAGGCCAUGUCUGCACAUGCUAGGCUCGUCAAGUUUAACCCGAGUGUUCCGCGUGUGCAACUGUUUUGCACCCGUUGUAUGUGAACAUUGAGUCUAUCACACCCGAUCAUCACGUGGUGUCUCGAAACGAUGAACUGUAGCAACGGUGCAUAGUCGGGGAGAACACAAUUUCGUCUUGAAAUUUUAGUGAGCGAUCACCUCAUAAUGCUACCGUCGUUCUAAGAAAAAUAAGGUGCAUAAACGGAUUAACAUCACAUGCAAUUCAUAAGUGACACGAUAUGGCCAUCAUCACGUGCUUCUUGAUCUCCAUCACCAAAGCACCGGCAUGAUCUUCUGUCACCGGCGCCACACCAUGAUCUCCAUCAACGUGUCGCCAUCGGGGUUGUCAUGCUACUCAUGCUAUUACUACUAAAGGUACAUCCUAUCAAUAUAGUAAACGCAUCUGCAAGCACAAACAUUAGUUUAAAGACAACCCUAUGGCUCCUGCCGGUUGUCGUACCAUCGACGUGCAAGUCGAUAUUAACUAUUACAACAUGAUCAUCUCAUACAUCCAAUAUAUCACAUCACAUCGUCGGCCAUAUCACAUCACAAGCAUACCCUGCAAAAACAAGUUAGACGUCCUCUAAUUGUUGUUGCAUGUUUUACGUGGUGACCAUGGGUAUCUAGUAGGAUUUUAUCUUACUUACGCAAAACCACAACGGAGAUGUUUGAAAUGCUAUUUAACCUCAUCCAAGGACCUCCUCGUUCAAAUCCGAUUCAACUAAAGUUGGAGAAACCGACACUCGCCAGUCAUCUUUGAGCAACGGGGUUGCUCGUAGCAAUGAAACCAGUCUCUCGUAAGCGUACGAGUAAUGUCGGUCCGAGCCGCUUCGAUGCAACAAUACCGCGGAAUCAAGAAAAGACUAAGGAGGGCAGCAAAUCGCACAUCACCGCCCACAAAAAAUGUUGUGUUCUACUCGAGAUGACAUCUACGCAUGAACCUAGCUCUGAUACCACUGUAGGGGAACGUCGCAUGGGAAACAAAAAAUUCCUACGUGCACGAAGACCUAUCAUGGUGAUGUCCAUCUAUGAGAGGGGAUUUCCGAUCUAUGUACCCUUGUAGAUCGCAUAGCAGGAAGCGUUAAGAAACGCGGUUGAUGUAGUGGAACGUCCACACUGUUGGAAAUAUUCCCUAGAGGCAAUAAUAAAAUGGUUAUUAUCAUAUUUCCUUGUUCAUGAUAAUAGUCUAUUGUUCAUGCUAUAAUUGUAUUAACAGGAAACAGUAAUACAUGUGUGAAUAAAUAGAUCACAAUGUGUCCCUAGCAAGCCUCUAGUUGGCUAGCUCGUUAGUCAAUAGAUGAUCAUGGUUUCCUGAUCAUGGGCAUUAGAUGUCAUUGAUAACGGGAUCACAUCAUUGGGAGAAUGAUGUGAUGGAAAAGACCCAAUCCUAAGCAUAGCACUAGAUCGUAUUGUUCGUAUGCUAAAGCUUUUCUAAUGUCAAGUGUCUUUUCCUCCGACCGUGAGAUUGUGCAACUCCCGGAUACCAUAGGAGUGCUUUGGGUGUAUCAAACGUCACAACGUAACUGGGUGACUAUAAAGGUGCACUACGGGUAUCUCUGAAAGUGUCUGUUGGGUUGGUACGAAUCGAGAUCAGGAUUUGUCACUCCGUGUGACGGAGAGGUAUCUCUGGGCCCACUCGGUAGAACAUCAUCAUGAGCUCAAUGUGACUAAGGAGUUAGUCACACGAUGAUGUGCUAUGGAACGAGUAAAGAGACUUACCGGUAACGAGAUUGAACAAGGUAUGGGUAUACCGACGAUUGAAUCUCGGGCAAGUUCUAUACCGACAGACAAAGGGAGUCGUAUACAUGAUUGAUUGAAUCCUUGACAUCGUGGUUCAUCCAAUGAGAUCAUCAUGGAGCAAGUGGGAGCCACCAUGGGUAUCCAGACCCCUCUGAUGGUUAUUGGCCGGAGAGGUGUCUCGGUCAUGUCUGCCUGUCUCCCGAACCCGUAGGGUCUACACACUUAAGGUUCGAUGACGCUAGGGUUAUAGGGAAUUGCUAUACGAGGUUACCGAAAGUUGUUCGGAGUCCCGGAUGAGAUCCCGGACGUCACGAGGAGCUCCGGAAUGGUCCAGAGGUAAAGAUUGAUAUAUAGGACGGAUGGUUUCGAACACCGGAAGUGUUUCGGGCAUCACCGGUAACGUACCGGGACCACCGGGACCACCGGAGGUGGCCCCGGGGGUCCACCGAAGGGGGGAAACGACCCCGGGAGGUAAGAUUGGCCAAGUGGGGGAGGGAACCAGCCCCUAGGUGGGCUGGUGCGCCUCCCACUCAGCCCAAUGCGCAGGGGAGAGGGAAGGGGGCAAACACUAAGCCAGGUGGGCCUAAGGCCCACCAGGGGUGCGCACCACCCCUCCUCCGUGCCCUGGCCGCUCGCCCCCUCUCCCAUCCUGGGGCUGCCGCACCCCGUUGGGGGUCGGAACCCUAAGGGACUCGCCGCCCCCCUCCCCCUCCCCUAUACUAUAGUUGAGGUUCCAGGGCUGUUUCGCGCAUGGUUUUCUCUCUCUCGGCACAGCCCUGCCCUUCUUCCUCCUCCUCUGUGUCGGUGCUUGGUGAAGCCCUGCCGGGAGACCUCGUCUCUCCAUCGACACCACGCCGUCGUGCUGCUGGAGUUCUUCCCCAACCUCUCCCUCCUCCUUGCUGGAUCAAGGUGCGGGAGACGAGUAUAUACAUCAACUCGUCAUCACCGAGCCGUGUGGGUCACCGGCUUGACCCUGCUAUGGAACUUGCAAGGGCCGUAGAGCAUGGUCUCGAAGGAUUACUUGGCCUACCAUGACUGCUUGCCUUCGUUGGUGCGUUGGCGUCGGCUGGUGCCUUGGCCAUCGGCCAUGUGCCCAUCCUUGACGGCCACGACAUGUCGGGUGCUCUAUCGAGCAUCCGGUUGGUCGACCUUGCGCUUGCCUUGAUCCGGCUGGGAUCGGCCGGCGGCCGGGGCAGAAACCGGCUUAGACACAGUCGGCUUGCCGGCCCCGUCAACAAUUACGGGGAACUUCAUGGAAGACUCGGCCAUGGCGUACUGGUCGACGACGGCCAUCAGUUGCAUGAGGGUGGAGGGUUCCUGGCGCAUGAGCUUGUGCUUGAGAAGGGUGUCAUCUCGGCAGUCGUCGAUGAAGUAUUGGAUCGCCUGCACUUCAUGGACGCCCUCGCAGGAGUGGCAAAACUCGGUCCAUCGCUUGAGGUAGUCGCGGAGCGGCUUGGCUGGGCCCUGCAUGAACAGGGCGAGUUGUCGGGGCUGACUAGGGCGCUUGUACGUGUCGGUGAAGUUGCGUACAAAUGCCUCCUAGAAGUCCAGCCAGCCGUUCACACUGUCGGCCGACAGGCUAUUAAGCCAGGACGGGCCAAGCCGAGCAGCAUGGGGGCGCAUAGCAUAGGUCUACGCGCUUGUUGACGCCGGCGAUGCCGACGGCGGUGGUGUAGUCGGCCAACCAAUCCUCGAGCUUGGUUGAGCCAUUGUACUCGGGGUGUCGCGGGGCAAGGUGAAGCCCUUGGGGAAAGGAUCCUUGAGGAUAUGCGGCCAAAGCACAACGGGCCGGCAGUACUUUCCUCCUCGGCGGCGCGGGACUUGGCGGACACUCCAGGCGAAAACGCGCAUCCUGGUCGUCAAGCUGGCGUAUGCCAAUGCGCUCGCUCGCCGGUGCGCGUGGUGCUGCCGACUGGUCACGCUCCUUGCACCAGCCGAUUCAUGCCGACUCGCGGUUGCCCCGACCAGCUGGCACCCGCACGCGGCUGUUGACAACCAAUGGGCUAUGGUCCCGCCGGCCGACUGCCCCGGUGGCGGUUUGCGUUGCCAGGUGAAGAUGCCUUGUUCGUCUCCCACCGGCCGGUUGUGGGCUGGCAUGCGUUGUCGCGGGUCCUUGAACGGGAGAUAGUUGGGCCCCGGGACGACUCCACCUGUUGCGCAUUAGCGGACUCUAUGAGUACGCAGAUGCGCUCCUGCUGUGCUUUGAGGGCCGGACCCUCGAGCCCUUCCAGCUCGCCGAUGGCAGCCUGCGCAGCUCGCAUAUUCUUGACACGGGUAUCAUAGAUGGGGCGGCCGCCUGCCAGCUCCUGGCCGACGGCGCCGCCACGACGUCUCACGUGGGCUAUCCAGCUGGGCCCAAGGGCAGCUGGCGUGAGGCCGAUGGGCCGCGAUUGAACUCGCGCCGACGUGGUCUCAAACUCGCACUGGGUCGCCUACAACGCAUCCGCCUCGUGUAGAAACUACAGGCGGUUGGCAUCAAGCUCUUGGGUGGCGACCGCGGGGUCGGGCCACCGGUGGGAUGGGGGUGGCAGAGCGUGUCCAUCCCCGUGCAAAUCGGGGUCCGAUAUCUGGAUGUACCGCCGUGCAAGGCGGCGCUGAGGACCUCCAUACGAUCGCAUAGAUCGUUGAUGAUAUGGGAAAGGUCGCUAUUGCCGGCUGGCGGCAGCUCGUUGCAGCUGAGCACCUCGGUGGGGUAGCUCUCGGCAACGAACGCAACGAGAUGCGAUGCGAACUGAAGGACAUGAUGGAGCUAUCAACGGGGAAGUCCGCGUCCUCGAGAUGGCGGGCAUUGUCGUUGAUACAGUCGAGCGCGUCGUAGCGCACGACCAAGCCGUGAGCCACACGCUGGCCAGAAGGGGUGAAGGGUCUUCCCCGGAACGUCACUCCUGUCGGCAUCGCUGUCGGCCCCACGGUGGGUGCCAACUGUCGUGAUAUUUCCAGGACAGAUGCCAUGGGGUGGCUUAACUCGUGGUUUCGGGCCAAUGGGCGCCGACGGCAUCUCGGAACGGGUGCAGGCGCAACACACAUGGCACCGGUUUACCCAGGUUCAGGGCCCUCUGAUGAGGUAAAACCCCUAGUCCUGCAUGUGUGACUAUAUGGGAAUCACAAUACAAAUGUGCUCCUUGAGCUGUUCGUGAGGGAGGAGACGGAGCUCUGGCGGCCGGUCUCGCUACCUCAAUGGCGUGGUGUAUUUCUCUCUACGUGUCUGUGUGGUUCAUGGUCUGCCUUUUCUCUUUGUCCGAACUCUCUCUCCAAUGGGCUUAGGACGAGGCUUUAUAGUGUAGCCGGUGGUAUAUUGCUAAGAGCGGGACAGAAGGUGGGGCCGUCUGCCAGCCUCUCAGGUUGGCUGCAGGGCCCGCUGGCUGUCAAGUCUUGUCGCGGGGCCUGCCGGACGUGUGCAUCAACGGCUCAUGCGCCGAGUCAUUUGGGCGCAUGCGCAUCGGGGAUCGGGGCUACAGGGCCUCCCGCCUGGUCGGUGUCGGUGAUGACUAGCGCCUUGUAGCCAUGCUGACCCCAUCACCAUUAUGAUGUGGUCGCGCCACGCAUGUCAGCAAGUAUUGCUGCCGUUAUGUCCUCUGAUUAUUUGUCUUGUCUUGUCUUCGUACGAUGGUACGGUCGGAUGGAACGAGAGCCGGCCAUCCGGCUGGCGACAGGCCUGCCGGCCAGACGAAGCCCGCUACGUGGCCCGACAUGGGUCGUCCCAAUGAGCCGGCUAUCAUGAGCCGGCCAGGUUCGCGUUGGCCGAAUAGGACGGCUACUACCAGCUAGCGAGGUUCGCGUUGGCCGAAUGGGUCGGCUAUUGCCAGCCGACUUGGGGGGGGCCAGGUGAUAUGUCCCAAACGUAUCUAUAAUUUCUACUUGUUCCAUGAUCUUUUGGGUGACAUUGUUAUCUGUUUUGCUACACUUUUAUAUCUUUUUACGCAUAUUUGGACUAACCUACUAACUCAGUGCACCCAGUGCCAGUUUCAAUCUGCUGAUGUCUUUUUUGCAGGAGCUUUUACCCAAAUUUCCAUAGCUCCAAAAAUCCUGAGGAAAAUAUAUAAAAAUCAGCGUGACGGAAGCUUCGAGACGCCCGAAGGAGAGCCGGAGGGGGCCACCUCUCACCCAGGCGGCCUGCCCGCGCGGCCUACGGGGAGGCCGCGCCAAGAGGCCGCCUGAGCAACUCGGACCACCCCUGGUGCCCUCCUUUGGCCUAUAUUUAGCCCCCGUUGAGGAAACCCUGAUUCCGGAACCCUUUUCUCGAGAAGCAAUUCCGAUCUCCGCCGCCAUCACCGACAAGUUUCGGGGGUAGAAUUCCUGUGCCGGCACCCUGCCGGGACGGGGAAGUGCCCCCGGAUUCAUCUCCAUCGACGUUGCUUCCUCCCUCCAUGAAGCGGGAGUAGUUCCUCCUCGGGGCUGAGGUCUUAUACAGUAGCUAUGUGGUUAAUUCUCUCUCUCAUGAUGUGAUCUUGAUUGUGAUCAUGCGCUAUGUUAAUCUAGCACUACUGGAAUUGAGAAAUUUCGCCAUCUGCCAUGCUAUUUCGCCGUCUGCUGACGCAGUGGACAAAGNUCCUCUUUGCCGUCAGCUGGCACAAAGCAGACGACAAAGNGGUUGCUGAUGGACUAAAGGUUUUNUUGUCGUCGGCCACCUCUUGCCGUNUGCUGACGCAGUGGACCGAAACGGGCCCCGGAGGCCGGACGGACAAAGGACGGAACCCGGACGGACGAAAGGGGUCACCCGNNNNNNNNNNNNNNNNNNNNNNNNNNNNNNNNNNNNNNNNNNNNNNNNNNNNNNNNNNNNNNNNNNNNNNNNNNNNNNNNNNNNNNNNNNNNNNNNNNNNGUAGACUCCCGUAACUAGUAAAGAAAACAGAAAAUACGUGUUUUCGUGUUUUUCCUUUUUCUAAGAGGCAUGAUCGUGUCUCUCACGAAGACAAAUACAUGCCUCUCAUGAAGCAAAAUACGUGCCUCUUAAUGAAAAAAUAGCAUUUCCCUUCCCGACGAGCCACGGGCAUGCCUCUCACAAAGGCAAAACCGUGCCUCUCGCGAAAAAAACAAGAAAACAUGUUUUUCCUUUCCGAGAGGCAUGGCCGUGCCUCUUGCGAAGGCAAAACCGUGUCUCUGGCGGAAGCAAAACCGUGUCUCUCGUGAAAAAAAAAUAGAAAUCAUGUUUUUUGUUUCCAAGAGACACGGCCAUGCCUCUCGCGGAGGCAUAUCUGUGUCUUCCGUGAAAGCAAAACCGUGCCUCUCAUGAAAAAAAUCGCAUUUUUUUACGAAAUUUUUUUUUUGGAUUUUUUUCCUUCAAAAAACUAAGAAAGACCCGUGGAAAACUGAAACACCAAAAAAUUACAAAAACAAUCUAAAAAGCCGAAAACGCGUGCGAAAAAAUAAAAAAAUAAAGUCCGAAGAAAUCGCUAAAAACGUAACACGUGGCGAUGGCUGAGAACGCGUUAAGUAACGGCGCGUCAAGUAAUGGCUCCAGAAGAAGCGCUCACUGGAUGGCUCCAGAAGAGGGGCUCACUAAGAGUCACUCCGGCGGGUCUAAUCGGCAACUAUUUUUAUAAAUAUUCCGGGCAUUUUUUAAAAUACUCUGUACAUUUGAAGAUAUGUCUUAAACAGAGUACAUUUAAAAAUUGUGUUUUGGAAAUUUUACGAGACUUUUCUGAAAAUUAUGGAUAUUUUUUAAUAAAGUAAAAACAGGAUUUAUAGGGCCACGACAAAUAGUUACCUCGCAAAAUGAAUAAAGACAAAUAAAAGCCGUUUAGAAGGCCCGGCUCGUGUGCACCGGCACAGAGGGUGUGAAGCCGUAGCUCGAGUUGGCAACCCAUUCCAUGUUUGGAUUGUUGGUCAACUUACACUGCAUGCUACUCCCUCCAUUCCUAAAUACUCCCUCCGUUCUUAAAUAUAAGUCUUUUAAGAAAUUUUACUAAAUGACUACAUACGAAGCAAAAUGAAUGAAUCUACAUUCUAAAAUAUGUAGUCCUCUAGUAGAAUCCAUAAAAAGACUUAUAUUUAGAAACGGAGUGAGUAUAAGUCUUUUAAGAGAUUUCACUAGAGGUCUACAUACGGAACAAAAUGAAUAAAUCUACACUCUAAAAUAUGUCUAUAUACAUCCGUAUGUAGUCCAUUAGUGGAACCUCCAAAAAGACUUAUAUUUAAGAACGAAGGAAGUAGUAUGUACAGUAUUUCACGGAAACAAAGUGCAGCAGGAAAGGUAAAAUUCAAUUCCAGCUAGUAUAGAAUGGGCAUUUCACUUGCCACACAUGGUUAAUAAAAAAAUACUGCACCCCCGCAAAAUAAAAAUAAAAAACACUGCACAACCCACAAGCCCCCUUUGUAUUCUCUAACCAUGUAAGAAUAACAUACGCCGCACAGACAAAUCAGUGGACGGCGCUGAUACAGAUAUCACAACUCUUUUACACUUAGUUGUACACACCAAUUUACAGGAUAUAUGUAUAUCAUCAGCACGUAAAGGGAAAAGAAUGCCGCUAUGAAUCUCUCUACCAUGGGUACUAUUUUCUCACUCUAGCUCUGCUAUGUAGUUGGGUGGCUCACCCUGGCAGAGGUACUCGUCGCAGUAGGACAUCGAUCCCCAGCCCCUCCGUAGCCUGAAGAUAUCCUCUGUGAAGGUGGAGCCCGAUGACCCUAUGAAAACGUUUGACAAAGCGCAAAUUGUCUUGUCGAGCAUGGCCUCGACCUGCAUAAGCAAUCGAAGCGGUUUGCUAUUUAACCAAACCAUCUCUACCCAAUACGAGAACCAAGACAAAAGAAGAGGACGGGAAUUGAUAUAUACCUGAUCAUCUCCACCCAUGUGUUUUCUGUAUAACAAGGCAUCCCACUUCUCCGAACCUUCAUGCUCUGGUCUUCUCACAAGAGGUACUUGCCGGUCAUUGAAUACAAUCAACGACUGCAGAAGAUUCGUCUCACUCCCAGCAGCAUCAGUCGACAGAUAUAUUACUGGGGCAUUAGCUUUCUCGAUGAUUCGCAGGAUGCAUCCUGCUGCCUGAGGGAUAGGAAAGAAGCAGCUCUCUUUCUUCUACAUUACUGCACGGAGACAAAAAAUAAUACAAUUAAUGCCACACAGGAAAAGAUACUUACAAAUUAUAACAAUAUUUGUGUGUGAUGAACUGAAAGUCUCGGCAGAUUUUCUAGGCAAUGAGCUGUUUUCCCAUCAAUAAUCCCCAAAGAACCUCAAGCAUAUGGUGCAUCCGGGUGCCAUAGCUACAACGACAAAGUGCAGGGAGUAAUUCACACAUGUAAAUGUAAUAGGUUUCAUGCCAAUCCAAGCUAUAACCAAGUGUCAACUUUAUAUACUCCCUCCGUUCCUAAAUAUAAAUCUUUUAAGAUAUUUCAAUAAAAACUACAUACGGAUGCAUAUAGUCAUAUUUUAGAGUAUAGAUUCACCCAUUUUGCUUCGUAUGUAGACCUCUAGUGAAAUCUCUUAAAAGACUUAUAUUUAGGAAUGGAGGGAGUAUAUGAUUUCUUUGUAGUCAUAGAGUGGGUACUAAUUUCUUACAUCUUGUAAACUUUAAGCACAGGAGCACUAAUUUCUAUAUCACAAACUCAAAGAACCUAAUGAUGUAUUAGCAUGAACUGAAAGCAGAUAACAACUAUCUCAUCACAAUCAAAUAUCAUGUUUCUUUGGCAUAUAUCAUAUAUCUGUGGAUAUAUCCAAGAUAGAAAAGCAAAAAACAGAGUUCAACUAAAUAUGUUUCUCUGAACUGUUGUGACAUCGUGAAACAAUGAGCCAAAUAUAACGGAUUAGUAAGUGAGGUCGCGGAACUCACAUGGUCAGCCAAAUUGAUAGAAGCAAUUAAUUAUACUAGAAGGAACUGUUGACAAGGAAACUCAUAACGCAUUGCUCGUCUCUGUAGAAUUUUCUUUGGACACAGCUGUACUAAAAUAUCGAAUAAUAAAUUAUGUUUUAACAAAAAUAAUUUUGUUUAACUGCUAUAGAAAAUUACCCCAACCUGCAAGGUGCUGCCUGGUGCUAAAUAUUGAGUACUUUGCAGAAGUGUCUUAUGGACGUAUCAGGAUGAUAAUGGGUGACACAUGCUAACCAAAUAUGACCCACAAUGUGAGGAACCAAGACCAAGAGCAGUAACCAGCUCAAAGUUGGUCAUGAAGUUAUCAGGUUAAACCAUUUAGCUGAGCCUGACGAGUUAAAUUAAACAAAAGGCAGAGCGAAUCGUGAACUUUGGUGCACCCUAAGUAAGGUAUCAGGAACUAAAGUAAAAAUAACUCUUCAGGAAUAGACUUUGAUCAGUAGAAGAGAAACUAUAUGCUAUGUACAUGAAGCUUAUUCUAUCAUAAGGAGGACAUGGUUAAUUUAUAGUAUUAGCAGACACUUCAUUAAAAGCCCCAUGAAGACUGUCUAUAGUAAAUUUGGUCAGCUGUGUAGUAGUCAGACUUUGACUUGUAUAAAUUUAACUUCCUAGAUCUAAAUGAAGAGCCAUUCUUUAUCAAAAUAAGUGGCUGGUGUUUUGGACGAAUUAUCUAAGCAGACAAGUUCAUUUUCCAAAAUUCCAAUGUCCAAAGCAUCAUCAGCCAAGCAAUGACUAAAACAGGAUAAUGUAUGAGCAACCCGAACGGUCCAAUUAUAACAGAAAUAAAGCCAGCUACUACUAGAGCCUAGAAACAAAAUGCAGCCCUGUCAGCAUGUUGGAUCACAAGUUCCACAAACAACCUUAAUAUAUGCAUCUUGCUAAAUAUCGAGAUGAUUGAUUACUAAUCAACUGAUAUGAUGUCUUACCAGAACUUAAGAAAGCCAUGUCGACGGAAAUGCAAAGCAAUGUAGUUUCCACCCAAGAAAGUCUGCACAAAUCGCUGCGCGGUAAGCAUUAUGAGCCUGCUUGGUUGGAUCAAAGUCCUGCAUUUGUGAGCCAAUGGACCACCAGGCUGCAUCAUCCACUCUUCCUCAGCAUCAGCAUAGAACAACUCACCGACUGCAAGCACCUCAGCGUCUGUCGUGAACUUUGCCGUGAUAUCUGCUGCAUAUCUCUUCUUUGGCUCCUUCAGUUUUGCAUCCUCUGGCCAAGCAGCCUCAAUCUUGCCCAUUGAAAUCCCCACACUCUUCAACUUCUUAAUAUGAUCCUCAUCCAUGUAACAARGGGGCGACCCCACGUAACAUAUAAAUUGAUCGAUGCUCACUUUCUUCCUUUUAUCCACAAAUUCCUCAUAAGUAAUCACAACCUUCCUUCCAAUACACUCAUUAAUGUGGUUGAUAUCAAGCACCCGGUCGUACUGAUAAUCUACCUUCUGGCUGGGAACCACCAAGAUCCGGCCAAGAAGUGCGGCGAAGAACAUGUGCUUCUCCAAGCAAAUCAAGUGGUUCGACAUUUGCCCAGAGAGACAGAUGGCGAACAGGUACCGAUUCUUCUUGGGGUUCCACUCUAUCGUCCGCCGGUUGUACGGCAAUUCCCUCCUCCUGCACCCGGGGCCUGGCAGAUCAAGAUCCAAAGCAUCUUCUGUGGCAUUGCCGGCCCCAGAGUGGUGCGUUGAGAGGAGCGCCUCCUGGAUCUCGCGGUUGAUCUUGAUCUGGCUGAGGAGCGCAGCCUGGAGAUCAGACAACGAGACAGGGGCGGCGGUGGAGCUGUUGGUGGGCUCAGGGGCGGCAGUGCGGUUGAAGAGGCUGAGGAGGCCGGAACGCUGGGAGCGGAGGAGAUAGAGCGCGUGGAGCUCGGCCUCGCGCAUGCGGGAGGAGGCAAGGUCGGCGGCGGGCGAGGCGGAGGGUAGCCGGAUGGAGGCGGGGAGAGACGAGGCGCCGCCGAGGGAGAAGAAGAGGAUGAUGAAGAGGACGGGGAGGCAGACGCAGAUGAGGAGGUAUCGGCGGGACCAGAGGACGCGGCCGAGAGAUGUGGCGGAGGAGGGAAGCGCGGGCGGAAGCCGGAGAUGCUGAAGGAGGCCCGGGAGCGGGACGAGGGGGAAGGAGGCUUUGUGUGGUUCUGGGGGACGAGGGUCUCGAGGUCGUCGUCCUCGUCGGAGACGGAGGGUUCGCGGUCCAUGGCGGCGGAGGAUAGGGAAGUGUCGGUGUGGGGUGGGAGUGGCGAGGCGGGAGGGUAGAGUGAUGUUGGGGGAAGAAGGGUGGGAAAGAUGGAGGGUAGAUGACGGCGACCGUCCAACGGUGAGG
rnacentral:lncRNA from 1 species